UUGUAAGCAAAAGAACCUUGAAAAUGGAUCCUUAGGAAAGGGGAGGAGAAUUCAUUGCUUUCUUCCUAACUCCUCUCUCUGAUUAGGGUUUUGAUUAAAAAACCUCUAAGAAAGAGAUUUGAACACAGGAUCCAAGAUCCAAAGUGCAUCACAGAAAGCCAUAGCCUUUUCUUUCAAUAGGUUCUUUUGGCUCGCUAUGAUGCAGACAUCUCUCUCUCUCUCUCUCUCUCUCUCUCUCUCUCUCUCUCUCUCUCUCCUUUUAACUUCUAGAGAGCUCCAUCACCUCCACUCAUCAUCUUUGGCCGACCCGACCAGAAUCUGGCCAAAUAGUGCCAAUCUCUUCAAUCUCUUCUUGUCCUUUACAUAGGUUUUCCUUAGUACUUUGGUAGUUUAUUCUCUCCAACUUUUGUUUCCUACAAUCACCAAGAUACUAUUGAAUUUUAUUGGAUUUUUGUGAUUUAAAACUUGUUAAGGCCUUUUGGGAGCCCGAUUAUUAUUAAUGGGCUUUGCUUGGAAAUCCAACUUAAGUUUCCAUAUGUGAGGUUAAGUCCCACAUUGAAAACUAAAAGUGUUGUUGGCAUAUAUAUAUAUAUAUUCCUUUAUUCUUAAGCAACUUGCUUGAGAGAAAAUAAAAGUUAUGCUCUCGUUUAAACAUACACGCACGAGCCAGGCCGGGCCGAGUGGGCGGCGGCAACGCGCGCAAUCCAUACACCCAAUUUAUUUAUUUUUUUUUAUUUUUUCGGUUUUAUUUUUAUCUUUAUCCUAAUCCUAAUCCUUAUCUGUAUAAUCAUAGGCUUAUCUUAUUCUACACGGAUUGAAGCAAGAAACUUGCCUUUGUUAUAAAUAUUGGAGGAGGUUGUUAGAUGUAUACCCUAGAAGCCAACCAGGCCGACACAUGUAUUCUUUCUAGGAUAUAAAUUUGUAUUUGACUUUAAAUUAUUAUGAAUAAAUUUGGGUUCUUAUUUCCAUUCAUGUUGUGUAUGUGACCAUGAAUCGUCCAAGGAAUUAAUAAGAUGAUGACAUAUAUUCUCAAAAGUUGAGAAUUUGAGACAUGUGUCAUUCGUGGUUAAUUCCUAAAUGCUCCCGAUCAAUGGAUAAUCACGGGGACGGUGAUUGAUCCGAUGAGAUUGGUACAUAGGUCGCUUCCUUUUUGGGUAGAUGGGUCUCGAGUCGACAGUGUGGGGACACUGAAGCGAAUAUGCAGGUGGUUGUUAAAGAACGAGGGUACCGAGCGUGACCAUCGUGAGAAGUCACUUGGAUGUCUACUCACUCGUCAGUGACUUACUCAAUGUUGCAGUAGUGUGACUGGUCUUUUGACUUGCGGUGCCUCGACUACUCACAAUGAGGUUACUGUAGUUUGACUGUACAUACACUUGGUCCCUAGUCAUUCGGGUCCUUGCGGUGCAUGUUGGCUGCAGUAGGUUCAUUGUAGGAAUAGGGUGUGCACUUAGAUGGUAUCUAUCUCCCUUGGUAGAUAGGGGUGUUAGUCCUAUAUGAUUUAUGAGACCGAGCUUAGAAGACCUUGGCCAGGGCAGAGAUAAUAGCGGAAAGGGAUUUCCGAUAUUAGAAACUCGAGUCGAAUAAAUUUAACAUAUGACAGACGAUGGGGUUUGACGAGUUAUUCCAUAACCUCCGUCUAGUCGGGACUCAUGAUAGAAGGAUUGUAUCACACGGUAACUGCACCAAGAGGUUCAGUAUUCCAUUCUACUGGAAUGCCACUACAUGCUGCUAGGCGUCACUGGUGGAUUGUGAGACUCAUGAGAAUUAUCUAGAUGAUCGAUAAUUCUCAUUGGGCUGAGUUGGAAUUGUUCUAAUCCAUUGAAAGGAGUUUCAGUGAUAUUGUUGAUAGUGAUCAAAAUAUAUCUCACUACCAGAUAGAAUAGAACCUAUGGGGUCACAUACAUAAGAGGUUGUGAUUUAUCGAAUAGCUAGAUCGCGAUUAUUGUAUCGUCGGAUGACCUAAUUGUCAAUAUGUUGAUAAUUGGACUAAUUUAUAAUUAUUACAAAUUAGUGGUAUUAAAGUGUAAAUGUUACAAGAGAGGACUUACUAAUAGUUAGUAAAUUAUAAGAGGACUUAUGUGCAAAUGUUGCAUUAUUAAUUUGAUAAGAUCAAAUUAAUAUAAAAUUCAAGUCGAAUCAAAUUAGGAUUUGAUCGAUCUAACCAAUUAAGGAAAUGAUAAAUUUAAAUCUAGAUUUAUACUUAUUCUUAAUUGUCAUUAUAUUAUUAGGAAUAGGAUUAUAUUCCUAUAUAUAAUAUACGGGAGUUUUUAGAAAACCCUAGCCGUCAUAUCUCUUCUCCUCUCUCCUCCAUCUUCUAGCAAGAAAGACAUCCUUUGCAAGGGAGCUAGCACCCUGGUGAGGAAAUCGAUCAAAUCAAGAACCUCGUGUGGAUACCUAUAGAGGCCGGACGCGUGUGCGGCUUCAAGAGAAUCCGAUUCCACGAUCAUCAAAGUUGAGGUGAAGAUCUAUCCGCGAAAAAGGUAAAGAUUCGAUCUUGCUUUUCUCCUUUAAUCUUAAAGAACAUGAGGGAUCCUAAUUGCGUGAUUUUUGAGAUUGGAUCUCGAGAGUUUUCAAAAUCAAAUUUGUUUGAUUUAUUUUUCCACUGCGUUUUACAGUACGCAAUUUUCUAACAGUUGCGUGAGUUCGAUAAGAACCGACGCAUACCUAAGAGAAAAACCUACCAUCUACCUCGUUUUUUCUGCUUUCCCGUCAUUAAUCUUUUUCGCCGACUUUCGCCGAGCUUUCGUUACUGGAUCUGAACCUUGUUGGAUUCAUCUUGCGCCACCUUGAAAGCAUGCCGACGGGGUGGAACGUGGUCGUUGUAUCGCUAGAAGUAAUUGCCGAAAAGCCUUGCACAUGAAUGGGCAAUUUCGCUUCUAGGACAGUGCUCUACACAUCUCGAUCAACAGACCUUAUCUAAACUUUUUCUUUACAGUAUUUGUUGUUUUUUUUCUUUCUCAGAAUUUUUUUAAACCUUAAAUUAAACUUUCAAAUUGUUUUACGAAAUAUUUUAAUAAAAGAUCAGAAAGAAUUUUCCAACAUAUACAUAGUUUUAUUUAUUUCAAUUCUAUUGAAGAUCCUAUUUGAGUUUCAAAAGUAUCUUCAUCAUGGCGUAUAGGAUGGGAUCAUCUAUUUCAGAACUAUUCUGAGCUUAGGUUGAUAUCCUCGUCAAGCUCAAGUGCAAUGGUCUUGGUUCUGGUCUUUCCACAAUGGUCGUCACCAGAGAAGGGCCCCACGUUCUACCUAUUAUAUGACCUUAACUUAGGACUUAAUUAAGCCCCCACGUUCUACCUAUUAUAUGACCUUAACUUAAGUUAGAACUUAUCUCAUAUCAAUUGAGACGAUCCGACUCACUAGCAAUACUAUAUGACCCUAAGACAAUCAAGACUUAUCUCAUACCAACUGUAACGAUCCAACCCUAAAACAAUCAAGACUUAUCUUAUACCAACUGUAACGAUCUGACUCAUUAACAAUAGUAACUCGUUAGGCCCAAAUUAUCGGCCUACAAAGCGUAAAGUUCGUAUUAUUAUUAUUAGAGUGUGUGACCUCUAAUAUUCUUAAACACAAUUUCUUUCUCAUUCGAUGUGAGAUUAUUGGAGUAUUACAUUACGAGAGUUUAUUCUUUCACGUUUGCUUGUCUUAACCUUUUUCUAUGUACUUUCUUUACAGCUUCUUGGACUUUUAUGCCAUGAGCUUGAUUAUUUAUUAAUUUAGGUAUUUAGGAUGGAGAAGUAAUCUAUAUCUUCCUCACCUUUCUUUUUCAGAGGCCGUCUAUUCUGUCUUAUCCUUAAUCACGUUAUAGUUUUAUUUAUUUCUCCUUUUUAAAUUAUUUUUAUGGUAUUCAAGUUUUACUUGUAAUGAAAUUUCUACAAACCUUUCUUAAACAAAUAUUUAGUUUUCUUAAAAAUAAUAAAGUGAGAAUUUUUUUCAUAGAAAAUAGCCAACAUGCACCGUCCUCACACACACACACACACACACACACACACACAUAUAUAUAUAUAUAUAGAGAGAGAGAGAGAGAGAGAGAGAGAGAGAGAGAUUUGGCAAGGCAGGCUAAGUCAUGGUCAUUGGACAAUGAUAGGAAUUUGACUCACUCUCAUCAUGAUUAUUGUUUGUUAAAUAAUUACUCCUACUCUAAAUUGAAUACAUCCAUCAAAGUUGGUUACAUUAUUUGCAUAUUCAUUGGUUAUCUGCUAUUGAGACAUGCACUUAUGUCACCAUCUAAAAAGCUAUGCAAGUUUAUUUCUUGGACCCCCUACUCUCUAAAAAAGAGUAGCAAUUAAUGUUGCUUUAUAUUCUCAGUUGAGCUCCUAUGCUUUUAAAAAUACCAGAGCAUUUGUAUUUGUGAUUUUUUAGCCAUCUAAUUAUUUUAAGAUCCAUACAGCACUACUAACAAUAUAUUUCAUUAAGUCUUCUUUAUUAGUGUUGUACAGAUUUUGAGGCGAUCUGACGGCUAAAAAAUUACACUUGUACUUUUAAAAACAUAUAUUGGAGCUCAAGUCUUAUACUCUAAGACAAGCAAAUAUAAUCUUUAUUAUAUUCUCCGCUAUUGUGCUUUUUUAGGUUAAAAGGAUGGAGAUUCACUCAACCAAAAGCCAUUCUUAUUUAGGCUUUUAUUAAAAUUUAGUCGGUUAAGUUAUAGAUUUCAUUAAAAUAAACUUCUAUCUAUUUUGAUUUGAAUCAUUAGCUAUAUAUUUAUCAUUAACUAGUUUGACAAAAAACUAAUUAGAGCCAUAAAAUUUGGCAAAAUUACUGAUUAAUUUGAGGAACUAACUCAGUUUACUACAAUUAAUACUCAACCCAGUGAGAGUUGAGGCAUAUCAAUAAUAUAUAUAUAUAUAUAUAUAUAUAUAUAUAUAUAUAUAUAUAUAUAUAUAUAUAUAUAUAUAUAUAGAGGUUUGGACCUGGGCUACUAUAUAGCAAAAUUCCAUUGUUGCUACCAGUAUUUUACCUUUGGAUCAACUCAUUUCAUUAUUUUAACCAUUGGAUUAAAUACAUAACCCAGUGGGACCACUCAACCCUAGGGGGACCACUCAACAAUAACGACUAAUAUCAUCCUGACCUACAAAUUUCAUCCAGGGUUAAAAACUUGAUAGCAAAAAGAACGUACUAUUACAUAGUAUUCCAGCCUAAUUCUAAAUAUAUAAUAUAUAAUAUAUAAUAUUACAUAUAUAUAUAUAAUAAUAUACAUAUAUAUAUAUAUAUCAUAACAUAUAUAUAUAUACAUAUAUAUAUAUAAUAUAUAUAUAUAUAUAUAUAUAUAUAUAUAUAUAGAGUGCGGCUAGGAUGCUUAUGGAAGCACGGAGGGCUCCGUGCUUCCACUUUGUUUUCGAUGUUUGGACUUUCGAAUCGACGAUCGGCUCCGUUAGACUUGAUCUAGAGUAUUUGAAGUAUCUAGAAAAUAAAUUUUGCGAUUUUUCGAUAUCCUUUGACUAGUGAUCGAAGUGGCUCAAAAUUAAUAAUUUUAAUGGCCGUGGUAAGCCGGUUGCAAGUUUAACGGUGUAGAAAUAUCCAAAUCACAUGAAAUUUUGAUAAAAAAUUCUUUAUACCAUAUAAAACAAGAUCAAUAACUUUGAUCUAAAAUUUUAAUGUCAUAUCAUCAUAUUGAUGGUAUGACACUAAAAUCUCGACUCUCAAUAUAUAUGAGGGUCAGCAUUGAAUAAGAAGUGCCAAGAAGCUACUCUAUAACAUCUUAAGCUUUCCCAAAAAAAAAAAAAAAAGGAAAAAAGAAAAAACCAUUGUUUCACAAGCUAUUUCUCUAUCGAAAAGUAGAGCUUAUUAUAUACAAAAUAAUAAUAAAAUACCUUACCUAAACCAUACUACAUAACAUAUGCCAACUUCAUUAGAUUGGAUGAUACACUCAAAACUCUCUUUAUCAUUCAUUAAAUUGAAUUAUAGAUUUGAAAGAAGAGUCCUUCUCCUUUGCAAUUAGGAAAAGAAAUUAAAUAACAAUAGCAAUAAUUAAAAUGCUCAUGGAAAUCUCUAUUGUCAUCUAGGACAACAAAUAUGUAUGGUUUAUCACCUAACACUAAUUAUUUUUGCAAUGGUUCGUACAUUGUGUCGUUUUGUGAUUGGCCAACUAAUUUUGUUACUCAUAUAAAUAGCACAUUUUUGAACUUUUAAUUAGAAAUUUAUUAGUGCUAAAUGUGCGUAAUAUGAUUGGUUCACCCUCAUCUCCUAAGAUGAGAUUGGAUUCCACUCAAUUAGUGGUAUUUUAGUGCUAAAAUCUUACUUUAUAUAUUAGGUUUUCACAAAAGUUUCAAUUUUGUGCUCAUUUUGCAAAGAAGUUGAUUAGUGAUUAUGAUCCAUGCAUCAUAAGGUCAAAUCAAUUAAGAGAUUGUUUAUGUACUCCACUCUAACUCAUACUUUUAGGGCACACAAUUAUAUAAUGGCAAACUUAUUGAUAGGAGUAGUGCACAAUUAUAAUUUUUUAUUUUAGCUUUUUUUUUAAACAAAUUUCAUGUAUUUGCCUUUUGGCUUGCGAAUGCAACAUAGAAGUAGUAAAAUUUAUAUUUUUCUUUAAGAACUAUCAAAGUAUAGUGUUUCUCCAACAAAUGAAAUAUAAGAAACCUAUUGGUUGUUGCUCUCAUGAGAGGUUGCUAUUUUGAAUUCAAUAAUACAGUAUAAUUGGUCCUUUUCAUCUACACUCCUUUUGAAGUCACCAUAGAUCAAUAAUCAUGAGACUCUUUAUAAAAAAUGCACUAACUUUACAAUAUAUAUGCAUGUGUGUUCAAAUGCCUGAACCUCUUGUCCAGUAUAUCUUUUUUUCUUCUAUUUCCAAAUAAUAUUUGAUGGAUUGAGGGAGUGCCAUGAGAAAAUGCUCACGGAUAAGGAGGAAUUACAAAGGAUUAAGUAAUGUUAGUUCAAUGAUAAUAUGUGACACCCUAAUAGUCCUAUAUCGGAUAGUUAUGACUAGAAUAGUGUCACAGACUCCCCCCGUUUAAGCCCUGACGUCCUCGUCAGCCCUAAACACACACAUGGCCCAAGAUCUCUCCCCGUUUAGCCCUGGCGUCCUCGUCAGCCCUAAACACACACAUGGCCCAAAUCUCUCCCCCGUUUAGGCCCUGACAUCCUCGUCAGCCCUAAACACACACACGACCCAAGAUCAUCAGGCGAUGUGAGACUCGUCUCGUUAGCUUUUGUCUUAGUCCAUCAUUUCUCUCACACUUCCGACUGGUGAACUGGCUCUGAUACCAAAUAUAAUGAACCGAUCCGCUAGCAAUAAUAACUCGUUGGGCCCAACCACCGGCCCAAAAUACUUAAACCCAAUUAUUAUGUCUAACCUAUUCAAGUUUAUAUACCUUAAUUAAUGAGUUAUUAUUGUUAGCGGGUCGAAUCGUUACAUAAUUGUUAAUGAUUAGCCAACUCCUAUCCUGCAUAUAUUUACUUGAAUAUAUUGGGAUUUUCUAAGUUGUAAAGCAUUGAUUCUUGUCACUAACCUUUUUUUGGUUGGUUUUUGAGUGCGAAUGAUAAAUUGGUGAUAAUGUUAUUUUACAGUGGUGUAGUACAAUAAUUGAUAAGCAAUGUAAGAAUAAUGUAACACUAGUGAACGUGCGAGGGAAGUGUAAUGGAAGAUUACCUAAAAAGGCAAGUGAUCCUAUAUUCUCCUCCUUAGAACUUAGAUGACAAAUUAAUACAUUAACAUGCAUGUUACCUAACAUAACUAUUUUCUCAAUUAAAAAAGUGGCAUCAAUAUAUAAUAACAACAUAUUCGCAAACAAGAGUGAUUCAAAUGAAAAACAUGUCUAUUAUUUUCAAAAAGAAAAAAGAAUAGUCAAUUUUAUUGAAGCAUCAAAUGAAACUGCAUUGAGCCAGUUCAACCAACCUAUUAAAUUAAGAUCAAAUCAAGAUAAAAACUAAAACCCAACUGCAUCAAACAUAACUUGAUAUUUUGUAAAUUAGUUUCCUAUUCUUGAGAGUAUCUGAUUAUAACCUCGUCUACAAUAUAGGAUUGAGAAGCGCUUAUUUAGUUGUGUAAGUAUUUCAAAAGGAUGUUAAUAAAGUAUCACUACAACAAAAACGGUCUAUAGCGACACUUUUAAAUACAGGUACAUGUUAAAAAAGUGCUGCUAGCUAAAAUUACCAACACUUUUAAAAAGUGUUGCUAUAUGUGGGGUCACUAGGUAUAUAGUGACAGUUAAAGAGUGUCGCUAUAACCUAAAAAAGUGCUGCUAAUUUACCAACACUUAUUUAAGCAUUUAGCAACCGUCGAAACUCUAUCUCGUUGGCUGCGGUGGCGGAGGAGGACAACAGGAAAGGAUCUUCGUCUAGAAUUUCAGUGGAUUCAGUGAAGAGAGAAGAAAAGAUGGUAAUUGAGUUUUCUUUUUUUUUCUUUUCUGUUUGUAAUCGGGUCAAAUGGACUGGGUGUGGUGGGUUGAGUAGAGUAAUCUUUUAUUUUUGGUUGGAUUGGGCUUUAUAUUUAGGCAUAAGUAGAAGUUUUUUUUAGUUUUAGCAUAAAUUGGACACUUACUCAAAAGUGUUCCUAUCAUGUGCCCCUAUAACCUAAUUCUGUUGUAGUGUGUGGUCUUCUAAUUUCUUUAAGUUUUCACAAUACUCUAUUCUAAAGUUUAAGUCUAUAUGAAUGUAGGCCAAGAUCAUUAUUUGGAAUUAAAGGCUCCAUAUUCAGUAUCAACAUUUUCUUUUUGAAAAAGAUAUUGUCCUCUAUCAAGUUGGCAACUUUUACAUGAAUGCUUUGCUAGCUCAUUCUCCACCCAUGUGAACCACCCUCUCUCUCUCUCUCUCUCUCUCUCUCUCUCUCUCUACCACAUAUCUUAUAUACUAUGUAUAUAUACAGCCUAGUUUGUGAACAAACUUCUCGACUUAAUUUGUACAACCCUACGAAAAAAAUAAUUAAUUAUGCAAAAAAUAUUUUAUUCAGCCCAAACAAGCACUCAGUAUCUUCUAUAACUAAAAAAGAUUGUACAUGUUUUUUUAUCAUAAUCAGAUUACUGAACGAAAGGAUACAAAAUGUUUUUAUUAAUUCGAUUUAGUUAGGCAAAAAGAUUAAUAACUGACAAAAAUUAGCUAAACUAAAAUUAUUAAAAUAAAAUGAGGAGCGAAAAGAAGGUACGUACGCACUAUCCUUGAAUCAUCUUCGUACUAUCUCCACACCUAACACAUGCAAUGCCUGUGAGAACAUAUAUAUAUAUAUAUAUAGUACUGUUGUAUAUUAUUAAGAUUCUUACGUGGAAUCCAAUACCUAUCCUUCAAAAUAAAGUUAGUUGUCUCCACUUUUUUAUUCUGUACAAAGCCUUUUAAAUAUAAUAAUAAUACAUAUUUAAUGAUCAAUACAAUCUGAAAUGAUAUAUAUAUAUAUAUAUUUAUAAUUGAGUUAGAAUGCUUUUACAAGUAUUACCUCUAUGGUGCUAUUAGGUUUUUAGCUGUUGGAUCUACUUCUUAAUUAUUAAUAGCUCUUGGAUCGAACACUACUUCUUAAUUAUAUAUAUGAGUACGUCUUCCAUACUUUCGAAAGUACGGAGAUCUCCGUGCUUGUAAAUUAUUUUUGAUAAUAAGACAUCCGAUUCGACGAUCGGCUGCAUUAAAUAUAAGUUACCCUAUUGGAACUGUUUAGAAACCAAAAUUUAUAAUUUUUUAACAUCAUUUACCAAGCGAUCAAAAGGACUCAAAAAUGAUUUUUUUAAUGGCCGCGUUAUGACACGUUUUUAAGUUCAACGGUGUAGAAGUAUCCAAAUUACAUAAAAAUUUAAUAGAAAAUUCUACAUAACAUUAAUAACAAGAUCAAUACUUCCGAUUUAAAAUUUGAGUCAUUUAUCACUAUUUUUUAUGAGAUUUUCAUUUUCAGCCGUUCAUUUUGAGCCUACUCGUUCACUAAACAAACGAAGUCAGAAAAUUAUGAAAUUUAGUUUUUAGAUAGUUACAAUAGCGUAGAUCAUGUUUAACGGAACUGAUCGCCGAAUCGGAUGUCCCAUCAUCAAAAACAACUUACAAGCACGGAGGCCUCCGUACUUUCAAAAACAUAGAAGCCUAGCUAUAUAUAUAUAUAUAUAUAUAUAAAAUUGAGCUCCUAUGCUUUUAAAAGUACAAAGUUAUUGGUGCUUGUAGAUUUUUGGCCAUUGGAUUGAGGGAUGUGCGGUUAUAAUGAUGUGGGCCCCCUAGGGUUGAGUGUUUGUUGAAUAGUAUAAUCUAACGGUUGAAAAUGAUCAAAGGCGUAGAUCUAACGGUAAAAAUUUACAAGCAUAAAGUGCUUGGUGUUUUUACACGCACCAUACCCGGACUCUAUAUAUAUAUAUAUACACCGUUAAACUACCAAGUAUUUCAUGCCGGCCGUUAAAAAUUGUCAAUUUUGUGAGCUGUUGAUCGUAAGGUAAAUGAUGUCGAAAAAUUAUAAAAUUUGAUUUCUAGAAGUUUUAAAUGCUCUAGAUAAUGUUUAAUGGUGUGGAUCAUCAAUUCAGAAGCUCUAUUAUCGAAAACAACUUAUGAGUACGAGGGCGAUCAUACUCAUAAUAGUAUAGUAGCCGGACUCAUAUAUUAGUAAGGCUACUAUACUCUUAUGAGUAUUGGACCCUUCAUACUCAUAAGUUGUUUUCGAUGAUGGGGUUUCCGAAUCGACGAUCCACUCUAUUAAAUAUGAUCUAGAGUAUUUGAAACUUCUAAAAAAUAAAUUUCGUAAUUUUUCGAAAGCAUAAUAAAGUCCAUCAAACGGGCAUAAAAUAAACGGUCAAAAUCGAACGACGUUCUAAACAUGGAUAAUCGGAUUCUUCAAUUUAAGAUCGAAUUUAUUGAUCUUUAUCUAGAUAGUGAAUAGAAUUUUCUAACAAAAAUUCAGCCUAUUCCAAUUCUUUUACACCGUUAAACUACCAAGUAUCCCAUACCGGCCGUUAAAAAUUGUCAAUUUUGUGUGCUUUUGAUCGUAAGGUAAAUGAUGUUGAAAAAUUAUGAAAUUUGAUUUCUAAAAAUUUUAUAUGCUCUAGAUAAUAUUUAACGGUGUGGAUCGUCAAUUCGGAAGCUCUAUCAUCGAAAACAACUUAUGAGUACGAGGGCGAUCGUACUCAUAAUAGUAUAGUAGCCGGACUCUCUCUCUCUCUCUCUCUAUAUAUAUAUAUAUAGAAUUAGGCUACUAUACUAUCUAUAGUACCGGAGCUCCGGUACUAUAGUCUUGUUUUCGAUCUUAAGGUGUUCAAAUUAACUAUCCACACCGUUAAAUAUGAUUUAGGGUAUAUGAAGUUCUUAGGAAUAAAAUUUUAGUUUUCUUCAACAUCGUUUAUUUAGUAAAUAAAUUAUGUCAAAAUGGAUGGCGAAAAUUGAAUAAUUUUUUAAAUUUGAGCAUAGAACUUUUAAAUUCAAGAUCAAGAAUGUUAACCUUAAUCUAGAUUGUUUAAAGUAUUUUCUAUCAAAAUUUGAAGAAAUUUAGAUUCUUCUACACCGUUAAACUCCAAACUCGCUAUAGUAGUCAUUAAAAAUUGACAAUUUUGAAAUGGUUUGAUCAUAAAGUAAACUAUAUCGAAAAAAUAUAAAAUUUUAUUUCUAAAAACUUUAAAUACUCUAGAUCAGUUUUAACGGUGUGGAUCGUUGAUUUGAACACCUUAAGAUCGAAAACAAGAAAAUAGUACCGGAGUCCCGGUACUAUAGAUAGUAUAGGAGACCAGCUCUAUAUAUAUAUAUAUAUAUAUAUAUAAUUGAGCUCCUAUGCUUUUAAAAGUAUCAAGUCAUUUGUGCUUAUAAGUUUUUAGCCCUUGGAUUAAUAAAUGUGCGGUUAGGAUGAUGUGGGCCCCCUUGGGUUGAGUGGAUGGUUGAUUGAAUAGUAUAAUCUAACGGGUGAAAAUGAUCAAAGGCGUAGAUCUAACGGUACAAAAUUCACAAGCACCAAGUGCUUGGUACUUUUACAAGCACCGUAGCCGGACUAUAUAUAUAUAUAUAGUUGAGCUAGAAUACUAUUGGUAGCAAGCGAGCUCCAUUGCCACCCAUUUAUUUUCGAUGAUGGAGCCUCCAAAUCGGCGAUCGACACCGUUGAAUAUAAUCUAUAGCAUUUGAAGUAUCUAGAAACCAAAUUUCAAAUCUUUUCGACAUUAUUAACCUAAUGAUCAAAGGGUUUCAAAAUUUAUAAUUUUAAUGGUUGCUAUGAGGUAUUUUCUCGUUUAACGGUGUAAAGAUAUUCAAAUCAAUUGAAUUUUAGUUAGAAAAUUCUUUAAACUAUUUAGAACAAGAUCUAUACUCUCGAUCUUGAUUAUAAGAUUCCUAUCAUCAAUUUUUAAAGAAUAUUCAUUUUCAGCCGUUCAUUUUGUGUCCACUUGAUGGACAAGAGAACAAUAUCGGAAAAGUAUGAAUUUGAUUUCUAGAUGCUUCAAGUGGUAUAAGUCAUGUUCAAUGAUGCCGAUCGUCGAUUCGGAGGCUCCAUCAUCGAAAACAAAUGGGUGGCAACGAAGCUCGUUUGCUAUCGAUAGCAUUCUACCUCAACUAUAUAUAUAUAGCAGGACUGCUGUGCUCUCAGGAGUACGGAGUCCUCCGCGCUCCUGAGCCGUUUUCGAUGAUGAAAUUUUCAAAUCGACGAUCGGGUUUGCUAGACUUAAUCUAGCGUAUUUGAAGUUUCUAGAAAAUAAUUUCUGCGAUUUUUUGAUAUCAUUUACCUAGCAAUCAAAGAAUUCAAAAUCAAUAUUUUUUAAUGGUUGAUAUCUGCCGUUUUCAAAUUUAACGGUAUAGAAGUAUUCAAAUCAGAUGAAAUUUUAAUACAAAAUUUUUUAUACUAUCUAUAACAAGAUCAAUAUUUCUGAUCGGAAAUUUUAGUGCUGUAUCACCACUUUUUAUAGAAUUUUUAUUUUCAACCGUUAAAAAUUAUUGAUUUUGAAUCUUUUUGAUUGCUAGAUAAAUGAUAUUGAAAAAUCGCAAAAAUUAUUUUCUAGAAACUUCAAAUACGCUAGAUUAAGUCUAACGGAACCGAUCGUCGAUUCGAAAAUUUCAUUAUCAAAAACGGCACAAGAGCACGGAAGUCUCCGUGCUCCUGAGAGCACAGCAGUCCUACUCUAUAUAUAUAUUGAUUAGAAAAGAACUUAUACAUCUCAUACCCAACUUUGCAGCUGAAGUCUGCUGCACCUAGUUCUGGAGAAAGAACAAAAAUAUUUUAAAUAAGAUUUCUAUUCUUUCCAAAGAUAUCGAACCGACAAGCUCCAUUUUCGAAUCAUGCAGCAUAUAUACUUGAGCAUCUGACCAUAGCAAAAACGAUGAACUUGUGCUCAAAAAUAUUACAAAAAUUCUGAUAAAGGCUUAAGAAAAAGGCUUAACGUUGGCAAUAAAUUCUACAACUUAAUUUCAAUUAAGAUGAUUUUACAUCUUUCCUCAAUCACUCUCUGCAAGCAAAAUAUCCAUUGUGCAUGCAUUUUUUGGUAUUUUUUACGUGAGACCCUGAUAAUCUUAUAUAUAAGAUAUAAUAGAGCUAAAACUUUUAAUUCGGUUUAAAUAUUUUGGAUGGUGGAUAGACCCAAAGUGUUAAAAGAGUUAAGCAUGCUAGGACGGGAGUAGUCCUAGAAUAGAUAACCUCCUGGUAAGUGGGGCGUCACAUUUUAUAUGCUACAUUGCUAUCUAGAAAUUAUAGAAAAAAGAUACUUCUAAUAAAACAUAUAUAAAAAGGCUUUUUUCUGCAUUUGAUCCUCUCAAAAAAAUUAUUUUCACAAAUAGCCCCAUCAAAUUUUAUAAUCGCUAUUUUAGCCCUAUCCCUACCACGAGCAAGAAUGGUGGAUGUGGAAUUAUUUGAACACGAUAAAUAAUUCACCAUGUCUAGUGUAUUAUAUUACUUGCGCGCGGGGUCAAUAUAUUCACUGAACAUAGUGAACCAUUCAAAUUAUUUAGACUCGGUGAAUGAAUUAUCAUGUUCAACUUAUUCCACAUCCCCACCCCUGCUCACAUGGCGCUGACGUAACUGCGUGGCGGGGAUAUGACCAAAAUUGUAAUUAUAAAAUUAGUAGGGCUAUUUGUAAAAAAAAGCCUUUUUGAGGGUGCCAAAUGCAAAAAAAAAAAAAAAAAAAAAAAAAAAAAAAAAAAAAAACCCUAUAUAAAACAUGUUUUUAAAGUAAAAAACAUAUAUAUAGUACAUGAAUGUUGCAUGACACAAUUAAUAGUUAGGUAUAUUAGGAGGCCUAAUGAGACAAUUUGCAAAGUAAGUUACUUUGUAAAAAAACUUUUGUUUAAAUUAAUGUAAUAACGUACCAGUUAUGGAACAAUAAACAUUUUUUACACCUCCACUUUGCGGUCAACGUGCAAGAAAUUAAUGGAAAGGUAUCUUAAUUAAUUAUUGGAUGAGUUAAAAUUUUGUUUUACAUGGCCAAAAAAAAAGAAAAAAAAUAGUCGCUUUCUUAACUAUAUCUAAUUGCGUACGUAUGUGUUUGAGUUAUAUAAAUUGUUCUUCCAUUUAGAUUAAGAAUGAAUACGUACACCUUAUCCUUCAUUAUCACACUUUCGGUACAACUCAUCCUUCUUAAUUUAAACCAUGAAAUUAAUCUUAUGAUGAAGCAACCCUCCGUGAAUAAAUAAGUCACUAAUUCUUGAGUGCAUGGUUUAGUCAAAAUCAUUUCCAAAUGGCUAUAAUAGAAAGAGCCACCUUAAAAAUAAAUAAAUAAAUCAUCAUGGUUGAGUUACAACUCACAAAUAAUAAUUGCGUUGGGCAUCUUGGUUGAGUUACAACUCAAAAAAAAUAAAGUAAAAUAAAAUAAAACAAUCAUGUUGAAUGUCUCGAUUGAGUAACAACUCUAAAAUAACAACAUAGAGUCGGUGAUCUUCGUUACCAUUUUUUUAAGGUUAUAAAGAGCAAUAACAUUAUAUGUUAAUUGCGUGCGUUGGGUGUAUUGGUUGAGUUACAACUCAAAAAAAAAGAAAUAAAACAAUCAUGUUGGAUUUCUUGAUUGAGUAACAACUCAAAAGUAACAACAUAAAGUCGAUGAUCUUGAUUAAACAUUUUUUUUUUAAGGUUAUAAAUUAAUUAAGAGCAACAAAAUUGUAUGUUUACUCCUACAAAGUUUUAGUUAUCAAAUUUAUUACUCCAAGAUAGCAUAGUUUGCAAAUAUAUCCCUCUAUACUAGUAAACCAAUUAAAGUUGACUUUUUUAAAGGCUAAAUUACAGCAAACCUUCCUGUCAAAACUCAAUUUUUCACUUUUUUUAUCAUGUCAUUUAAAAGCAUAUAUACUUUGCCCCUUUAUAAAAUAAAAAAUGUUCACUUCACCUCUCUGCCGUCAGUGAUCCGUUAAAGUUUCGUUAUAAAAUAUUUUUUAUGCCAAAAAUAUCCUCUGCCCUCUUUACUGUGCUUUGCUCUCCUCCGCCUCGCCGCCUCGCCCUCCUCCACUGCCUCGGCCUCGCACACAUCCCCGUCCGUACCCACAACGAUUUCCUCCCUACUGUCGCCAAAAUGGAGAGGCGAUAAGGGUGCGGAAGGAGAAGAGAAGCAGGUGGAGAAAAAAAUGGAGACGAACCGCGGCCGAUCGAGGCAGCGGAUGAGCAAGAUGAGGGAGGAGACGAAAAUGGUGAAGGAAAAAAUGGUCAUUUUGUCAUCACAGCUCACACCAUACCUCUCGUGAACAUUUUUUUAUUUUACAAGGAGACAAAGUGUAGGUUUUUAAAUGACAGGGAGGAAAGUGAAAAAUUGGAUUUUAACAGGAGGAUUUUAUAUAAUUUAACCUUUUUAGAAUACAAAGUAACGAUUUCAUCCUUAAAUAAAUAUCUUUUUAAUUAUAUUUGAAAUUAUGUGUCAAUUUCAAUAUUUUUAUUCUAACUUUUAUGUCACUCAAUGUAAAUCAUAAACUAUAGUUCUACAAAAGUGUUUAAAGCGGUUGUCUUUUUAUAAGGGAUAACGUUUCAAAUGGUGAAAAUAACGUUUCAAACGGUGAAAAACAAUCGGUGGUAUUUAAUAUGUAAAAAUAAAUUUAUAUAUUUUGAAGCUUUAAAGAGAGAUACAUUUGAUAAUUAAAACUUUACAAUAACUUAUCUCCAANAUAUAUAUAUAUAUAUAUAUAUAUAUAUAUAUAUAUAUAUAUAUAUAUAUAUAUAUAUAUAUAUAUAUAGACCGGCUGAGAUGCUUCUAAUAGCACCAAGUACUUGGUGAUGCUAAGUUUUCCACCGUUAGAUUUAUCAUUUUGAUUAUUUUUAACCGUUAAAUCAUAUUAUUCAACCAAUCACCCACUCAACUCUAAUGAACUAUUAUUUUUCUAACUAGAGACUCCUAUCAUCCUAACUGCAUAUCCCUUCAUCUAGCGAUCGAAAUUUUAUGAAUACAAAUGAGUAUAUGCUUAUAAGAGUAUAGUAACCUUACUCUAUAUAUAUAUAACCUUGCAAAAACAAAAAUAAAAAAGCUAAAUUACAGAAAACCCUCUUGUCAAAAUCCGAUUUUUCACUUUCCCUUCCUGUCAUUUAAAAACCUACACUUUACCCCUUGUAAAAUAAAAAAUAUUCACAGAGGGAGUACGAUGUGAACUGCAAUGAUAAAAUAACUAUUUUGCCCCUUACUAUAUUCACAGGAGAGAAGGCUGAGGGUAUUUUUAGCAUAAAAAAAUAUAUAAUAAUAUUUUAUAAACGAAAUCCUAACAGAUUACUAACUGCAGGGGGCGAAGUGAAUAUUUUUUAUUUUACAAGAGGGCAAAGUGUAGGUUUUUAAAUGACAGAAGGCAUAAGUAAAUUUUGACAGGGGGUUUUAUGUAAUUUAGUCAAAUAAAAACAUAUAGAUGCCCUAGUGUGAAUGGUGUGAGGACAAAAAAGUAAGGGACUAAAAAGCAAAGAUAGAAAGCCUAUAAAUAUACAUAAAGCUAUCCUGGUCACAUGGAUUGGUGUUCUUCUCCUAAUAAAAAAGUUACUUGAUAAAGUUUAAACCUUAUUAAUUUAUUUAGAAUAAUAAUAUAGAAGUAAUGCUUUAUUAGGAAGGACAUAGCUUUACGAAGGACUAAAUGUCAUUGUCUUUAGCUAUCGCCACGGUGCACUUGUUCAUAUUUGCUUGUUGUUUUUCAUGCGAUCUUAUUUUGAGAGAUAAUAAUAAUAAUAAUAAUAAUAAUAAUAAUAAUAAAAUCAUAAAAUCGUGUAAUUUGAUUUUUAGAAAGUUCGAAACAAUCUAGAUAAUAUUUGAUGGAAUCGAUCGUCAAUUUAGAUGCUCCUUUUAAAAAAAAAAAAAUGAAAGUAAAUUAACAUGCUUACUCCUAGAAGCAUUUUUAUGCCUAAUGAUACAUCUCAUAUGCAUUCAAAAUGGGUCCUAAAGAAGACAAUUUAAUUUCCUCUGUAAGUCUCUUCUUUAUAACGAAAAUUAAAUUAAAAUUAAAUUUCAAUAAAAAACACUAAAAUUGAUCAUUAAUCUUUCGAAUGUAAGCAUUUGAUUUUGAAUUAUACAGGUGUUUCAUUGUGAAAGUAACAACAUUACUAUCACAUUAUUAGUGUCAAAUAUUUAUUUCAGAUUUAAAAUAUGAGGACAACAAAAGAGAAAUUUAUCAAAGUUUAGGAACUAUCAAUGUAUUUUAGUUAAUAAUAUUUAUCUAAAAGAGCACAUCACUAAUAUACUACUAAUAUACUAGCAUCUUUUCUUUUCUUUUCUUUUCUUUUCUUUUCUUUUUCUUUUUUUUUGUGGGGCUUUUAAUAUGACAUGGCAAAUCACAAAAGGAAAGGAAAUGAAAUGGGAAAGACAUUCAGCACCCACUACCUCCCUAUGGAUUUUAUUUUAUCUUUAAAAAAAAUAAUGCAAAUCUUACACUUUUUUUUAAUCCAAAGUUCUUUAUUAAGCCUUUAUUUUUAUCAAAAAAAAAAAUUAAAAAAAUUAAAAAUUUAAAGAGUUUUAAAAUCCUAGAGUGAAGAGCUGAAACACUUACAUCCCUUUUCGGACGUACCAAUAGCAUUUAUCUUUAAAAUUAUUAUUCAAGUUUAAAAAUGAGAUAAAAUUAUCUGCACAACACAAUUCUGUGACAAAAGAACAACACCAGAGAGGGUUAUGUGACAUCCCAAUAGUUUCGUCGCAUCAAACGGAAAAGAAAUUAUACAUGAGAAUGUAAGGAUCAUGAAUUUUAAUACUAAUAACUGAUUAUUACUGCUAGCAGGUUAGGUCAUCACAUUUGGUGCCAAAUUGCCAGUCGACAAUAUGAGAUAGAACACACAUCGUGCAGUGAUUUUGGACUGGAAAAUGAAACCUAACGAUAAUACUCAUAACUAAACUUAAACAUUUUGGACCAGCAAAUUGUUAGUAAGUACUUGUAAGCUGAGUCAUUACAAUUUAUAUAAAACAAAAAUAAAUUGUUCAAGUAUUCCUAUAUUAGCUGAUCUCAAAUUGCUCUAAAGGUUAGAUAGGUGGAAAGCUUUUUUGCUGUCAUUUAUUGAACACCAGAAGAACAGAAUUAGUACUGCACAAGCAAAUCUAACAAGAUACUAAUUCCCAUAUUAUAAUAUAUUGAUCCUAAACCCCAGAGGCCACCACAAAAUUAGUGGAAUCCCUUGCUUUCCAACUUUGAUAGUGGGCCAAAAACAAAUUCCUCAACAAUGAACACAAUGCAUAUAUAUAUACAAGUUGGUUACUCCAUUAUUUGCUUCAUUGAACAUACCAUUCCUUGUUAAAUUCCCCAACCACCCCCCCUUUCUCCAGCUACUCACACAAGAGGAACCAGCCACUGAGAAGUUGAGGAUCUUCAGAUUUCAGGUGUUGUAAUGUUGAUAGAUACAUUCCCUUGGUUGAGAUUUUGCCCUGUUUUUUUUGUGUUGGUGUUCUUUUUUGGGCCAUUUGCUACUGAAUUAUCACAAAUUGCACUAACUUUUAGAAUAACUUCAUCUCUGUCUAAUUGGCUCAUCAUUCUGAUCACCAUUCUGCAACUCAAGAGUAAAGUUAGGCUUUUUUUCUCAACUCCUUCCACCUUUUACUAAUUAAUUUGAAUUCCUAAGUAGGUUGCCAACAUGAAGAACAUGCUCCCUCUUUCUCUCUCUAUACAAUAUCAGUGAGAACAACCAACCCCUCUCACCCUCUUUCUCUCUUAAUUGUUUUUCUUUUGCUAUGACAUUUUGAUACUAAGCCAAUCAGUCACCUUCUCUUCCCAAUUCCACUCUAAGAAAAAGUCCGAAUCAAAUUUAAAUUUGAUUUUAUGUUUUUAACCUUUUUUUUGGGCUUAUUGUGUGUACAGGGAGGGCUUAGGAUGGGGGGAAAUGAAACUGGGGAGAGCACAACAACAUCAACAGCAACAGCAACAACAACAACAAGAGAGGUGAAGUAUCAGAAGAGCUACUUUGAUGUUUUGGGGAUCUGUUGCCCUUCAGAAGUGCCCCUAGUAGAGAAAAUAUUGAGGCCAUUAGAAGGGGUUCAGAAGGUCUCAGUGAUAGUUCCUUCAAAGACUGUUAUAGUUGUGCAUGAUGGCAGCCUCAUCUCCCCUGUUCAGAUUGGUAUGCAUGAAUCUCUCUCUUGUUCAGUCUGGGGUCUUCUUUAUCUGUCUAAAGAGCUCAAGUUGGCUUGUUAGUUAAGUUUUACUGCACAAGAAGUUAACCUAAAAAAUAAAAAGAAAAAAGAAAAAAGGGGGAGAGAGAGAGAGAGAGAAAGUGAGAAGUUUGAGUAAUUUUUGUAUUUGGUCAGUUAUAUCCAUCAAAUCGAUCUUUCCAGUAACAUAGUAUCAAACCAAGUUCUAAGAUCCACGGAUCCAAAUAUUAACAAUAUUUAGUUAUAAUGUUUAGCAUGGCCGAUGUGAUCUCCAGCGUGCAAGUGAGCAUGAAUGUUAAGACUAUUCUCAGGCAUUUCCUAUCAGAUUAAUUUGUUUGCUGACCGAAAAUAGCUCCCGAGAGGCUUCCCUACUCAAAAAGUAGAAGCCAAUUAGCAACCAAAAAAGAUUCGGGUUCAAAAAAUUACAAGCGACCCUAAAAGAGCUCACACUAAUCAAAAUAACAUUUCUACAGAAACUCAAGCCACACCAAAAGAAAAAAUAGUCCCAAGACAACCAAACAAGCUUUUUUAUGUUAUUCAAUGAGGCUUUGGUUUGGAGGUCUCCAAAGUAGAAGAAUUUGGUUAAGGCUCUCUAGAGGAAAAGAUCAUCAAAUAAUUAAAUAUUUGGUUUUUUUGAUGAACCUCACUGUUGGGACCAAACAAGCACCACAAAGACCUCUAACUGCACCAAAAGCUUGAUUUUUUGAAAGCUACUGGACCUGCACAUUUAAGUUUGGCAGAUGUUACAACUUAUUUAAUCAUUAGGUAGUCAUUUUCCAGGGCUCUAUAAUUAAUUUUGAAGAGAAAAAAAAUUAAGUGGGAAGAGGGGGUAGAUGAAGAGCAUUAAUUGAAAUCUAAAAAUAUCCUUGGUUAUAUGGUCUCUCUCUCUAUUCUUGACUAUUGGCUAAGUUGCCUGAAUCUUUUACCUGCAGUGUUUCACUUGAAUUGAUGUUCUAAACAGUGUAAUCCAUAAAAAUGAAUUGUAAUAUGCACUGCUUAGUAGAUCGGCAUUUGAAUCCAUGAAUCACCCUUUGAUCUGAUUUUAACUUUCAUCAGUCAAGGCUCUAAACCAAGCCAGGCUCGAAGCCUCGAUUCGAGCUUACGGGGGCGGCAGAAUCAUCAACAAAUGGCCGAGCCCGUAUAUAAUUGCGAGCGGUCUGCUGCUUCUCGUCUCGCUGUUCAAGCGAUUCUUCCGUCCCCUGCAAUGGCUAGCCUUGGCAGCAGUCGUGGUCGGGCUGCCGCCGAUAGUAUUGAGAAGCAUCGCCGCCAUUCGGAGAUUAACUCUGGAUAUCAACAUUCUCUUACUGAUUGCAGGUACAGGACCUCAUCCUUUGAUUCCCCUUAAAGGCUUUAUGAUGACAUCUUAAGUGCAAUUUGGUACUACUUAUCUUCUAAUAAAAGAACACAUUCCAAAGAACAAUGAAAAGCAUAGGAUUCUAUUUCUAGGGAUCUAGGGGUGCAUAAAUUGCUCAGGUUAAGCACAAACAAGACAAUUCCCCAUUGCACUUUAGCUCCGGUCUCAAUUACCCCCACUGCAUAAAAGAAAUCGCAUCAAUUACCCUUCCACAUUUUAUCAUUAUCUCAAACAGGUCCAGGUAUUUACGAUAAUUGUUGAAUUCAGUUAUAAAACUUUGUAAAAAGAAAUGUGCAGUUAAAGUUAUCUAUCAGUAAUGCAGUAGAAUCUUAUAAAAUGAAUAAAUUUCUCAAUAAACUAUCAAUUUUGAUAGUAUUAGUAAAAUAAUAGAUAUCCUUUAUCUAGAUUUUUUUAUAUAAUUUUUAAGUUAUAAAUUGGAUAUAUGUUGAGAUACAGAACAAUGUGAUAUCCCAGUUCGUUUUAGUAAAGUUUUAUAGCCUAAUUUCCGAAUUGUUUAAAUUUUUUAGAUCUAUUUAAGAUGAUAAUCAAGCGUAGGGUGACAUUUUAAUGUGGUGGGGUAAUUAAGACAAGCACUAAAAUGCAAUGAGGCUUUUUAUUAUUUACCCAUGUUUUUUCCACAAUAAAUGAUGGGAAAACUUCAAAAAACCCCCCUGUGGUUUGGUAGUUUCUCACUUUGUCCCCCUGUGGUUUAAAGUGUAUUAAUUUGCCCCCCUGUGGUUUCGUUUUUAUCUUUUCGGUAGCUUUUUCGUUAAUAUUUCAUUAAAUUAUAUACAAAAAACUUCAGAUACCCAUCUAGAUUUAUCAAAUAUUCACUUUAGUACCCUUUAAUUUUAACUUUAUCACUGAUUUAAGAAAAAAAAAUAAUGAAAUUGAUAAGAAAAAGAGAAAAAAGAAACCACAGGGGGGCAAAUUGAUACAUUUUAAACCACAGGGGGGCAAAGUGAGAAACUAUGAAACCACAGGGGGGUUUUUUGAAGUUUUCCCAUAAAUGAUUAAACACAUCAUGCACUUUUCUUAUUUUCCUUCUAAGAAAAAUAAUUAUUUAGAAGGUACUAAAGAUGCUAUUAAGAUUAUGGUAUUGGAGAGCAAGGUUGUCAUUAGCUCCAUAAUGUUAAAGUUAAUGAUUCUGCAACAAAAAUAAAGAAUUCCAAGUUGAGCAUAGUAGGAAUCACUACAAACACAAGUCACAAUUAAGGGUGGACCAAUCCAUGAUGCAAAAAGAGAUCACUUUUACUUUUUUUUUAAAUGCAAAAAAUGUAGAAAAACCUAGUAUUGCACUCUUAACAUAAUUAAGAAAGGGGGAUAAUCUUAAUCUCAGGUGAGAUUCAUACUUUUAAAAUCUAAAACCUAUAAAAAAUAUAUAUAUAUAUCAAGUUUCAUAUCCAACUUAAACCUAAAAAACCCGAAUUCGACAGAACUAUAAGAUCCGUGUCAAGAUCCGAACCUAAUUAGUGGUUAGCUAUGAGAUCCAUGUUAGGAUCAAACCUAAUUGCACAUCAUCCUCUUAAGUUAUUUUUCUUAAAGUAUGAUUAAAUAACCUUGUAAAUGGAACGCAUUAUCCUAAACAAUCAUGACUAUACGGGUUUUAUAGCUGAUUAAAAAGAAAAUGUUUGUGCAACAAAAGUCAUCAUUUGAUCAAAUUUUUAUUAACUAAAUAUUUUGUAAGAUCAUAUAACUAGCAGGGAUACAAUAGUAGCCAAAACUCGUAAGACGAAUACCUUGGGGGGUUAGGUCUCGGAAAGCCAACCAAGAAAUCUGAGGUUCAAAGUUUGAAACUUACUGUACCUAGCGCGGUUGGCUAAGGGCUUGAUGGUCGGUACCCAAGGUUCCAAGUUCGAAGCUUAGUUGCUUCACAUUUCUAACUACAUUUAUUUCUAAAAUAAAAAGAAAAUAAAAGAAGCAGUAGCUUGCAAUCUUUAAUAAGCUGUAGAAUGUUGUGUCAGGUGUGGGACUCACAGACAAGUCUAAAAAAAAUAAAUAAAAGUGAAGUAGCUCCAAGCUGGAGAACUACACCACUUAGGGGGGGCUCCCAAUUGCUCUAUCUGCGAUUUUCCUAUCUCCUAUAUUGAAAUUUUUUUUUAUACUUUUUUCACUUUACUAGAUGAAAUUUCAACAUGAAAUCAUAGUCUUUCAAUCGAAGAAAAAAAUUACCUUAGUCUUCCAUUUCUAGACCGUUCUAUUCCAGUAGUUCGACCGUCAAAUUUUAUUUGUUUUGCUAUUUUCAGAAUACGGAAUGUGACUUACUAUUAUUGAUCUAAUUGAUAAUACAUGGAAUGGACCUGUUAUCUCUAUCAAGAUGAGCUCAUGAUAUGCUCAGGUUCAUGGAAUAACUGUCAAUGGGUGCCUGUCAUUUGUGAUUUGCUUGCCUUGGUGGAAUGGGAAUAGUCCAACCUUUAAAGUUAUAAUACAUAUAUAGAGAGAGAGAGAGACCACAUGAGACACUUCUAAUAGCACCAAGCAUAUGGUGCUUUUUCGCCAUUAAAUUUACCCUUUGAUCAAUUCUAUCUUUUAAAUCAUGCUAUACCAACCAACAAUCAAACCCUAGAAGACCACUAUCAUUUCAACCCUAUAAUUUUUCACCCAAUAGUUAUAAAUUUGGUAGUAAAAAGACACGAAUACUAUUAAAAAAUAUUCUAAGUCAAUUAUAUAUAUCACCUUUUGGAGUGCUCAACUUGAGUUUUAUUAAAGAGGGUUUGUUCCCUCUAUAUAGAUACUGUGGUUAAGUACCACAACGUAAUUUCCCAACACCAAGAGGUUUGGAUUCCAAUAUUCCAACAUGUUGAAAGCACAAAAUGAUUUUAUUUUCUCUUUUUUAUUUCUUGGUAUGGAAUAAUUAACAUAAGGUGUGGCAUAACUAUCAACUGCACUAGCAGUAAAGGACAAAGUCUGAGAGAUGCUUACCCUACUUGCGUGAAUAAUUUUAGUGUAAAAAUGUACUGAGAUCCCCUCAACUAUUAGUCAUUUUGAUCUUUAGAUUAUUUUUCCAAAUUCGGCUUUAUAUGCAAUAAAAUUAAGGAUUGAUGACAUCUAAAUUCCAUCUGCUAAAAUGUAAUCUAAACUUUUAAAUUCAACAAAAUGAUUGUUAACUUUAGUAAAUUUUUAGAUUAAUCAAUAAAAAUAACUUAACCAAAGAAAUUAAAUAUUGAAGGGACAUAAAAAAAAAAAAGAAAAUAGUUGAGGGGUCUCUGUACAUUUUUAUCUCAUAAUAAUUCAUAUCUUUCAAACUUUCACUUCCACAUAUAUUGCCAUGUGAUAAAGAUUAAUUGUUUAUUUGAUUUGCUUCAUUUUUUUGGGUCCUAGUAAGAGAUAAAUUUUUUAAAGUUAAGAUUAAAUUAUGGUUUUUCUUGUUUCUUAAAUUAUGUGUAUUUGGCAGUGGGUGGAGCAAUUGCUCUCAGGGACUACUCAGAAGCAGGGUUUAUUGUGUUUCUCUUUGCCACAGCUGAAUGGUUGGAAACAGUGGCAAGUCACAAGGUCUCUAUCAAUCUCUCUCCCUCUCUCUCUCAAUCGCACACACACACACACACACACUUUUAAUUUCUUUUUUUUUUUUUGGUAAAAAUGUAUGGAGACCCUCUCAACUAUAGGCAGUUCUGAAAGUGACCCCCAACUUCAAUUUUUCUAAUUUACACCCCCUUUAAUUUUUUUUUUUCAAUUGAAUUACUCUAGUUAUUUAACUUAAAAAUCUUGUUAAAUUUAAUGGCUUAAUUAGCUAUUACCAGUUGAUUAAUCAAGCUUUAUUCCUCACACUCUUCUAAGGCCUAGUUUGAUAACAUAGUAACUAAAAGUGCAAGAGCACUUUUAAUCUUUUUUCCUCUACAGGCUUCUCCAUCAGCCGUUUACUCUAAUAAAAGAUUCAGCUAGCAUAAAACAAUAAUUUGACAGGAAGUAAAAAGCCUAUACUUGAGCUUUUAAACUAAUCAGUUGUUUUAUAAUAAUAGGCACAUUAAUGUAGAGACUAUCAACUGUAGAGUCAGUAAAACCAAUCUACACAAUAUAAGAAUUUUUUUAUUAAUAUUCUUAAAAAUUAUUAUAAUUAUAAAAAUAGUUCUUUAAAAAAAUUAUUUAUAAAACUAGUCUUACACAAUAAAUGAAUUACUGAUUUCUAAAUGCGAUAAAUUAUCCACCGCUUUCUAUAAAAUAUUAAAAUUACUUUUAGCGUUUAAUGUCAUACAUCUUAUUUUUUGUAGUUCGACCAUAAAAAAUAUAGUGUAGAGCUACUAUGCUAUCAGAAGCAUAAAAGGUUUUAUGUUUUCGACUUUUUGACUCUUGGAUCAAAAAUUGUACAGUUGGGAUGAUUGUGGUCCCCCCUAGGAUUGAGGUAGCACUAGGGUGUCAAACGGCCGGGCGGCCGCGAGUCCGCCCGGCCGGCACGAGAGUGGGCGCGGGCCAGGCACGGCACGAGUACUGUAGCGGGCCGUGCCGGCCCGACCCGGCCAGUCAAAUCGGGUCGUGCUGGGCCUUGCUCCUGUGGCUUGAUGGCCCGGCACGGCCGCGGCACGACCCGAGCCUGGCCGUGCCGGGCCUGAGAGUUUACCUUGCCGGCGGCGCGGCAUGACACGCCCGACCCAUGUGGCAGGGUCUUCGAGCCGGGCCCAGGCAUGGACUUGGGUACGACGGCCUUACCCAACUCCCAAGGCCCUGUACUACCCAACUCCCAAUGCAUUGGGAGUUGGGCUUUGGGGCUCUCCCAAGGUCUGUGAUAAUAGAUCCUUGGGAGUUGGUUUGGACCAAAAUCCCUCCAACAGUCAAAUUUUUGAUUGUGGGAAGGGCAUUUUGUUCCAAAAAUUUAAAAUUAAAAUAAUUUAAAAUUUUAAUAUUUUGUAAAUAUAUUUUAAAAUUUUAAUUUUUUAUUGAUAUAUAAUUUUUAAAAAUAAUAUUUUUAUUUUUAUUUUAAAAAAAAAUUAAAAUUUUUUAAAUAAAAUUAAUAAAAUAAAAAAAAGGGCUGGCCCGAAGCCGCCCAGCCAGGCACGGCUAGGGGUGGCAAUCUCAGCUCGCUGUUCGCGAGCCAGCUCGUGUUCGGCUCGAAAUGAGCUCGAGAUCGGCUCGCUCAUUUAGUAAACGAGCCGAACACGAGCCGGAUUUUUCAGCUCUUUAAUAAACGAGCCGAACACGAGCUAGGGUCAGCUCGCUCGCGUUCGGCUCGAUAACAGCUCGAUUUUAUUUAUUUUAUAUUAGUAUAAUUUUUUUAUAUUAUAAUAUAUAUAUAAUUAUAUUUGUAUAUAAAUAUAUAAUACAGAUUAUUAAUUUUAAAAUUUUAGCCAUUCUAAAUGGAUUAUCUUGGGCCUAAUCUUGGUUUGGGCCACGAUGCUAGAGAGAGAGAGACCGACUCAGGAUGCUAUAGAUGGAUUAUCUUGGGCCUUAUCUUGGACCCGACUCAGGAUGUGGAGUCGGGUCCGACGAUGUUACAGAGAGAGACCACAGACCAGCUACCCGAUAGCCGGUUCCAGGUGCGGAUUCGGGCUCGGGAAGCGCUACAGUGAGGAAGCGCGGACCCGUUGCCCGAAACCCCACUCUCCUUUAGAUUACGCCGCCGCCUUGUCCCAUUCUUCACCUUGGAUCCUCCCAUGUCUCACCCAUGUCUCACCGCCGCCUUGUCCCAUUCUUCACCUUGGAUCCUCCCUUGUCCCAUUCUGCGACGAUGCUUCUCGCUCGCAGCGAACUUCGGCAGCGGCAGCGAACUUCGACAACGGCAACAGCAGCGGCAGCAAACUUCGACAGCGGCAGCGGCAGCGAACUUCGACAGCGGCGCUAACGAGCCGAACACGAGCUAGCUCGAUUAAGUUGCGAGCCGAUCACGAGCCGGAGUUUUCGAGCUCGUCACGAGCUCGAGCCGAACACGAGCCGACCUGAAGACGUUCGAGCCGAGCUCGAGCUGGCUCCAGCUCGCUCGAGCUCGACUCGUUUACAGCCCCCUAGGCACGGCCCGUGCAGUGCGGGCCGGGAGGCCGUGCUGAGAACUUUGGCCCGGCACGGCACGGCCCGAUUUUGGGGCCGGGCCGUGCCGGGCUGGCCUCCGGCCCGUUUCGACCCGGGAAAGGGUUGAGUGAUCCCCACAGGGUAAUAGUAUUAAUCCAAAGGUUAAAAAUGAUCAAAGGGGUUAAUCUAAGGGCCAAAAAGUCAGAAGCAUCAGAUCCUCUAUGCUUGCGAUAACAUAGUAGCUCUACUAAAAAAUAUAUAAGGUUGGUGAAAAUAGUGAAUAAUUUAUCGUUUUUAGAAAGUGGUGAAUAAAAAAUUCUAAAAGGUCAAGUUGCCCAAAAAAAAUCCAAUAUAAUCAAAAUCAAGAUCACAUUGAGGGACCACCCCUACAAAGAAUAUCUACGAAAGAAUAUGUAUGAUGCCAUACAAACAGUAGGGGUACUGUAGCCACAUUUAUGCUAUCAAUUGGCCCACUUAAUUUUGCUUGUACAUUCUUGGUAUGGAAUUUAACGGGACCAUCAACCAUAUCUACUGUUUCAUGUGCAUGUCCAUAAAUAAAAGCUUUGCCUAAUAGAGAAUUUCAUCCACUCCACCACUUGGAAUAGGAAUUUCAUAUUAACAGAGUCAAAUUUACUAUUUACAAAUAGAUUUGUCAAACUUGAUCACUUUCCAUUACUUGGAUUUGACCAAAUUUGAUGAAUCUGCGAGGCAAACUUUUUAUCUAACGCAACUGACACAAAGAAAAAUGAGGACAAAUUGUCAAAACAAAACACAAGAUGGGUCUGAGCAAGCUAAGCCUAAAUACACAUUCAUAAAUAGUUUUUUCAUAAUUAGUAAAAGGAGAUAUCAACCUCUAACCUCGCUACUGUUUGGUCUAGCUAGAGCUUCCGCGAAAGUGUUGUAUGCUUAAAAGCUACCCAAACUUCAGAAAUUGAAAAAACACUGCCAACAAAUUCUAGCAUUUGCAACUGGAAGCAAAAUCACAAUGGAGUCAAAAAAGCAACAUAGAAAGUAGUCUCUAUUACAAAGAAAAACACCCUGCACUUCUGAUCUAUUUUAUUUGUUUUAAGAUCUAUUAUUAAAGUUGGACCUUAGAUGUUCCGAACCAACAUAAUAUGCUAACUCAUUCUAGUAAUGUUUUGCAUCUAAAUUCAACAAUUGUUCCAAAUUUUUCAACCAACUUGACAUGGUGGUGAUGUGCAAAGUGAGAUUGAUGCAACAUUUUAUGCCAAAAGAUAACUGAAACAGGUUAAAGGGCAAGGAUUUUCUGUAGUUUAGCCUGCUAAUAAUUUGUCUUAUAUGGAAAAUUUUAGAAAGAAACUUAGUUACCUGCAGGCAACUGCGGGGAUGUCGUCGCUGAUGAGCAUGGCUCCACAGAAGGCCGUGCUGGCCGAGACAGGCCAAGUGGUCGAUGCUCGAGAUGUUAAGAUCGACACGGUCCUGGCAGUCAAAGCUGGGGAAGUGAUCCCAAUCGACGGCGUGGUCGUCGACGGGAGGAGUGAAGUCGACGAGAGAAGCCUAACGGGAGAGUCAUUUCCUGUUGCCAAGCAGCCAAAUUCCCAGGUGUGGGCUGGGACACUCAACAUAAAUGGUACCACCUUAGUAGACUAGGCCCUUCAUUGUCCUUCCAAUGUAUGUGAACUUAAAACACAUAGUUCUUCAUAGGGUUCACAUGGAUAAUUGUAGCUAUGAUCAUUGUUUCUUCUGUAGGAUACAUUAGUGUGAGGACAACAGCAAUGGCUGAGAACUCUGCAGUGGCUAAAAUGGCAAGGCUAGUUGAAGAAGCGCAAAACAGCAGAUCCAAGACGCAGCGAUUGAUCGAUUCCUGCACCAAAUACUACACACCAGGUAAGCGAGUAAUUUUUCUUUAACAUGAUCAUAGUUUUACUAAUAUAGUUGGUUAUCGUACUUAAAGAGUUUGAUUCGAUGAUUAAUCUCUACGUUUGAGAUGAUAAUUAGCAUAACAUAAGCUGUUAUUUCUACCUCAUCUGGACUUACCUAGCAUUGUGUAUGAUUAAACUACUACAAAGAAUAUAAACUAAUCUAUUAAUCAACUGGCCGCAAAGGUUUUGCUGUCAAUUCUCCUCUAGCUCUAAUAUUUUACGAAGCACAUAGUAGUUUCCAAAGGGAAAAUCACACUGUUUAGUUAUUAAAGUAAUCAUAUAUAUUCACUAAGGUCACCAAACUUCAAUUUGUUCCAACAGUCGUAUGAAACUUUAAUUUCAGUUUCAACCACACUUUGUUAAAGAGUUUAACAGAGUGACUGAGACAGAGAUAGAAAUUUGGUACAACAGUCUGAACAAAUCAAAGUUUGGUGAUCUAAGUAAAACUUCGACAUAACUUCCGUGAGACCGUGACCAACAGUAGUUUGACCAUUUCUAAAGAGUAACUAGUUAACAAACUCGCUUUAACAAAUCAAUAAUUUAAAUCUUAAAAUGCCAGACAAGGAAGCCUUCUUGAAGUACUAGUGUGCUUGAAAUAUUUAUAUUCGAUAGUUGAAAAUUGCUGCCUAUGUGUGAUUCUUGGCUCAUAUGUUACCUGUUUCUUUCUGCAGCUGUCGUGUGCCUAGCAGUAGCGGUCGCAUUGGUUCCCUUAAUAACGAGAAUCUGGAGUCACAAAAUAGUCCGGAACCCCAAAGGCUGGUACCAAUUGGCACUGGUCCUCCUAGUGAGCGCGUGCCCCUGUGCUCUGGUGCUCUCAACACCCGUUGCGACCUUUUGUGCACUCCUCAAAGCUGCGAGAACUGGGCUCCUCAUCAAAGGUGGGGAUGUCCUUGAAACUUUGGCGAAGAUCAGCGUAGUAGCCUUUGAUAAAACUGGAACAAUCACAAAAGGAGAGUUUGAUGUUAGAGAGCUCAGAACGGUUCAAAGUGAGGUCUCCCUCCAUACACUUCUUUACUGGUAAGUUUCAAUAUGUAUUAUAGGAUCUUUUAAAAAAAAAAAAAUUGGAGACCAUUUGUCGGUAACCAAGUUGAGAAACUUUUUGAAGUUUGCUGAACUACACUACCAGUUACUGAACCUAUGGUGACAUGUCACCUUAGUCUUCACCAAACUUGCAAUUUGUUGCAACUAUACAAGGAAGCUCUAUUUUUGCUUCAAUUAAAUCACUCCAUUAAACUCCGGUUAGUAUCCCACAGGGAUGACUUGGGCACCUGACUCAAUUGCUAUGUCAUGUUGUGACUGCUGAUUUAACUAGCAAAUAAGCUCUUGAGACGAUGCAGCAUUUGAUCAUAAGAGCCUUGAAAUGAGUUGCUUUGUCAUUGCUGUAUCAUGUUUUAGAGAUGACACGGCAGUUGAAUAUACUGUCCAUCAUCCCUUCAUUGUGGAAUUAAAGUGAGGUUGUGGAGUAACCUGAUAGACUGAAAAACUAAACCUCUUAAGUAUAAAUGGGCCAAAAUCUCAAGAAACACUGAAACAGUAAUUAAUGUUUAGCGCAUCAAUUGUGACAACGUGGAGUGCAGGAUCUAAGAGAAAUUUCACAAGAGAUUCACUGACCAAUGAUAUUAAUUACCAUUAGAAAUUCAUUUGUCAAGAAGAUCUUCCACAGAGAGAUAGUUGUUCAAUUCAUGCAGAUCCAUCUUAUUCAGAAGACAGUCAAAUAGGCCCCAUUAUUCAUGUUCUUCAUCUCUCCUCUUUCCCUUAAAACAAAUUAACAAGAAAAUUAUUUGGCAUUCAAUGAUUUGUUAAGAUUUUAAGUUUUUCAUAUUUUUGUUGAAACUUGGCUGAGUCUCAUAGUUCUUCAGGGUUUCAAGCAUCGAGAGUAAAUCCAGCCACCCAAUGGCAUCUGCACUAGUUGAUUAUGCUCGAUCAAACUCAGUCGAACCGAAACCAGAGAAUGUCGCAGAGUUUCACAUCUAUCCUGGUGAGGGAAUUUAUGGGAAAAUAGAUGGAAAAGAUAUUUAUGUUGGAAACAAAAGAAUUGCAGCCAGAGCAACAUGUGAGACAGGUUGGUAAUUGAUUCAUCUUUGGGUUAGAAAAUUAGUCCCUGAACUUGGACUCAGAUUUCAAUUUCAUUCCUAGAUUCAAUACCAACAAUUAGCCUUUGAAUCAUCUUUAAUCAGUCCAUGAAGUUUGACCCCAAUUUCUAUUUCAUUCUUACAUUUUAUGGUGCUGAUGUUGUGACAAAUCAUCCUUUUUAAGAUGAUAGAUUAGUUGAAGGGCUUAACUGUUCUGCGGGAAAAAUUUCAGGGACUAUAUUGUUGAAAUUGAUACUAUGAAGAUGAAAUUGAAUUGCGGGUCAAGCUUAAGGGGCUAAACUAUAAAUUAACCCUUUUUUAAUAUAUGUUGCAUUGUUUGAUUUAUCCACUGAAUUACCAAAACCUUCAAGAAUUUCUGUAGGAAUGAAAUUCUCAAUAAAGAAAGAAAAUCCAUGCAUAGACAUGAUUUUUCAAGCUAUACCGAGAAUUUCUAAUAGACUGAUCCUCAAAAUUUUAGUUACAAACAUGGAUGAUAAGGAGGGAGGAGUUACCAUUGGAUACGUGAUCUCAGAUUCAGUAUUAGUCGGAGUAUUUACGCUGUCUGACACAUGUCGGACAGGGUCGGCAAAAGCAAUCAACGAUUUGAAAUCUUUAGGCAUCAAGUCGGUAAUGCUUACCGGAGACAGCACUGCAGCAGCUACACAUGCCCAAGAUCAGGUACAUGAUAUUCUUUUGAGAUAUCGAAUACAAAUUGCUAUAAAUUAACUACUUAAAAGAUACAUCCCUGCAAAUAUGAAUUUCAUAUAUACCUUUUACAAACUUGAUUUCUUACGUAUAAAGAAAAUACCCUAUUUGAAAAUUUUCUAUUAAUACUGGAACAACUUUGCCCUCUUCAUUUGGACAAUUCCCCACUUUCAACAUAUAGCUGUUUCUUAUAAGAAACUGCACUUUCAAGCAAUGUAAUUCAAAAAAACUGCAGUAUAUACGAAAAUUCAGAUUUUACAGGGUAUAUAUAUAUGUAAUUAGAUAAUUUUGAAGGGAUAUAUAGAUAUUUAAAAUCCUAUAUUUUGUCAUACAAAGGAUCAUUCAAGUGAAGAAAUGAAAAGAAAUUAAUUCAAAUAAAGAAAGCAACAGCCUACUAUUAUCUCACUUUUAAUAGCAUGAUUAUAAUUAUACAGCUAGAGCAAGCUCUUGAAGAACUUCAUGCAGAGCUUCUACCAGAGGACAAGGUUCAAAUAGUGAGCGAGCUCAAGACAAAAGAAGGGCCCACAUUAAUGGUCGGAGAUGGCAUGAAUGAUGCACCAGCAUUAGCCAUGGCAGACGUGGGAAUCUCGAUGGGGAUAUCAGGUUCAGCUGUAGCAAUGGAAACCAGCCACAUAACCCUAAUGUCUAAUGACAUUGGCAAGAUCCCAAAGGUUAUUAGGCUCGCAAAGAGGACCCAUUUUAAAAUAAUAGAGAACAUUAUCUUCUCAAUUAUUACAAAAGUCGCUAUCGUCGCUCUUGCCUUUGCCGGCCAUCCGCUACUUUGGGCAGCCGUCCUUGCCGAUGUUGGGACAUGCUUGCUUGUGAUCUUGAAUAGCAUGACGCUCCUACGAGAAACUACCACAAAGGGUAAGAAAUGUUGUGGUUCUUCGCAUAAAUCGCUCGUCAAAAGGACUGAUCAUGCAGGUCAUUGUGCCAAUGGUGCAUGUACAACAUCUAGCACUCGUGGGCAAAUUAAAACAUCCAGUUGCAGUGAUAAGCAUAUUUGCCAUGAGAAUGAGAAGGAAGAGGUUGGAAAAAGAGUGUCUCAUAUAGAGUCACCAAAUCAUGUCCACUGUUGUCAUGAACAAGUUAAAGACACAAGAAAUGCGAGCCAAGAAAACUUGAUCUCGAUUAGUUCCGAAUUAGGGCAUCAUGGUGAUGACUGCUUGCAUGAAGAGCACUUAGAGAAGCAUCAUGAUACAUGCAACCAUGUAUUAGACGAUGAUGAUCAUGAUGAUGAUUCGUGGAUAUCUUCAAAGGUUUGUAGAGAGAUAAGCAAUGGCUGUUGUGGAAGUGAAAGAAUGCAAUGUGGUCAAGGAAUAGAGGGUUAUUUGUGCUCGCAAGAGAUCAAGGAGAAGAGAGAGAUUGGUGGUUGCUGCAGGAGCUGCAGACAGGAUUGCAGAGAGAGGGAUGGUUGCUGUGGAAGUGCGAUAGUAAAACUGCCAGAAAUAAUUAUAGAAUAGAAGCAUAUAUUUCAAUUAAAGUUCAUCAUUGGCUUCAAUCAGAGGGCCAAGGUGGAUAUAUAUAUAUAUAUAUAUAUAUAAGUUUUAUUUUUCCUUUCACUUUCUGGGUUUUACAGAAAUAGAAGGGAGGAAAAAAAUCCAAUUUUGGUUUCCACUACAUGUUUUUGCAUGAGAUUGAGAAACACUAACAUGUUAAUCUCAUUGAAUGAAGGAAAAAAUUGGCAUCUUUUUGAGUGCUAUGUAGACAAUUUUGGAGAACACAAAAAGUUGACAGAAAUUGCAAGAUUUUAUGAUUGUUAGGGUACCAGACAGAAAACAUCUACAGAGAAGAACCCUUUGACCUGACUGAUUGGAGAGGACAUUCAAGAGAGGGAACAAACAGCUUUAAGGAUUUCUACAUGAUUACAUUACAGCCAAAUAGAAAGAAGGAUACUCAGUCUAUGGCUUAACUUCUGGAACAAAGGUGUUGAAGGAAAGCUUAUAGGCUGUUUAUUUAUUGGGGCUACAUGUUGAUUCACUUUCUCGAGUGAUAAAUCUUUGUAGUUUUGGAAUUUUGCUUGUAUGGAUGAUUGAUGAACUAAAGUAUACAAAUAACAGUUGAUGGAAAACCAAGAGUUAACAAAUUUCAGGAUGAAAUAAAUGUAAUCGUCGAUGAGGAAAAUGCUAUUCUUGAAACACAUUGAUGCUCUUCCAUUGCUGUUAUGCAAGAGGAAAGGCUAAGUGAAGAUGUCAGCUAACAUCCCAAUCCUGUGUUCUCUAUCCCCAUGCUUUCCUAAGAAACUCAUCACUUGUUUCAAUUUUAUGCUCUGAAGCCUGAUCUGGGGCAUGUACUAUCUUAGCAUAAUUAUGCACCAAGAUGGAAAUUGUAACUUAAAAAUCUCAAGUGAAAAUCUUGUGACGCCAGAAAUAACAUCCCUCUUCCACCUUAGCUAAUGCCUCAUAAGGGAUGAACUUCUGUUUAAUAACCAAGUGGACCAUUUAUUCCUCCUCUUCUAAAAUAUUUUAGAUUAAUGUUAUAGAUUUGAAAGCUUUCCUGUCUUCUAUGUAAGUUCCUACUUUCUUUUCUUUCUUUUUUUUUUGGUGCUCCCAUUCUUAGGCAAAGCUUCAAAUAUUCAUUAGUACAAUCCAUGCAAAGCUCAAGCAUGAAGUAACUCAUUUUUUAAAAAAUAAUAAUAAUCAUACAUUAACCUUCUUGCACAAAUGAAACCCAAAUAAUACAAUUUGAGAAGCCAAACAUACAACUAUAGAUGUACGAAACUUCAACUGAAUAUAAAAUAUUAAAAUACCAUUCUUUGACAGCUUAAUUUUUGGAGAUUACGGUUAAUCUAUAUAGCAUCAGAGCAGAAAGUCCUGAAAUCAAACUGCUAUAAAAUAUAUUGAGUCGAGACAUCAGGAGAAGUCGAAUAUAUAAUACUAAAACACCGAGCCUAAACAUGAGAAGUAUUGAAUAUAUAAUAUUAAAAUAUCGAGUGUUGAAUAUAAACGCUAUAAAAUAUUUAAACACCGUUCUCUAAUAACUUAGACUUUUGAGAUAAAUGGUUGUUUCACAACUUCAAAUCCAUGAAACAAGAGAAUAAUUAGAUAAUUUCCUCUUUUAGGACACAAUUAUUAACACUAGAGGAGAAAAAAAAAAAAAAAAGAUACAAUCAUGAUACUCAUAAUUCUCUUAGUCUUCAUCAUCCUCUUAACACAAACUACUUCAACCAAUCCCAUUGUUUUGGGCCAAAAUUUCUACAAGGAGCUCCUUUUACAUGAUCAUAUGACCAUCUAUUAGCAAGAAAAACACUGAAUUUGAGGAACUAAAACCUAAUUCGAACUAAUUUUACUACAUACCUUCGUGGACAAUUCCACAAACAAUUGAUGGGCAUUGGAAGAGAAUAUUUGCGCCAGAAAAUUUAAGAAAAAUUGCAAAUAAAUCAGAGCGAAUACUUGAGAUUGUUGAAGCAUGAGGGGAUUUUAGAUCGAUACCUCAUCAAAAAUUUGCAAAUUUCGCGCUCGAUGAAACCAAAAAGCUAAGACGCCCAAUUUGAGCUUCAUGUUGGCGCCGGUGCUUUGAAACGUGCGCUGGAGAAAUUUUAAAUAAGAGAUUUAUUAUACUAGUGGUACCUAACCUAAUAUUUGGUGUGUUUUUUACAUUUAACCCCUUCAAAAGAUUUUAUUUUGUAAACAACCCAUCAAAGUUAUAAAUAGAAAAUUGGCUCUAUAUUGUACACGUAAAUAGACUUAGCAAACGGGCGGGUUGGAUAACUGCUGACGAGUUAUUGUACCUACGGGUCAUAUUGGCAUGGGUAAACUUUACCCCGAAUGGGUAGACGGGUAAAUAUGCAGGUCACCUGCAAGAUUUUUUUUCUAUGCUUCUAUACUUUUUCAGAUACAAAAUACAAAUAUAAAAAAGUAUAAUAUAAUUUAUUGUUAGAAAUAUCAUAAUAUGUAAUAAAUAAUAUAAAAUCUUAAAAUGUAAAAAUAGUUUAUCAUUCCAAAUUUUUAUAACACACAAUUAAUAAAGUUUUUUUUAUGAUCAUAAAAUCAAUAUUGUAAAGAUUGUAUAUUUUUUUAAUUUAAAAAAUAUAAACGGGCAUCCAUGGGUACACACAGGUUGCCCAAAAUAUCCACAACUUAAAAAGGUACCCGCCUAUUUUAUUAAUAAUUUUUGGAUAAAAAAAGUUUAGCACCCAUACCCGUAAAUUUGCAGAUAACACGCGUACCCGCAGGUACGGAUAUAGUUUGCCAGGUCUCGAUACACAGAACAAGAUAUUCAUGCAUAUAAACGGGGCAAGGUAUUGUUAUCCAUAAUUUGUUGGUAUAGUAUAUUUUACUAAUAAGAUGAUUUAUUUUAUUCUAAAAAAUGACAUAAAAUUCAAAUAUGAUAUUAUAUUCUGUACAUUUAAUCACACUCCUUAUCAAUCAAAUAUACAAAAUUUUUUAAGUAAAUUAAAAAGAUAUAUUGAACAAAAUAUCAAUGAAUCCAGAUAUGGUACAAGCUUCUUAAAUAAAUGGGACAAUUUUCUGUGUGCCCCUCUAACAGUAAGUAUUUACAUAGAUGCCCCUAUAAAAGUUGAAAUAUCCUAAAUGCCCCUCUAAAUAUAGAAAACUUUAAAAAUAGCCUUCAAAACACAUUUUUGUUAUAAUCUACGGUAACAACAAUCAAAAUACCGAUUUUACCCUUUUCAUAAUUGCCCUUUUAAAUAUUUCAAUUAUUAGAAAUAAUUUUAACUUUUGUAAAUACCCCAUAAAUUUAAAAGUUUUACAAAUUUAAAAGUUAUUUAGUUAUAUUUUCACAUUGAUUUCUGUAAGAAUUAUAUAUUCUAAAAGAAUAAUAUUUUUAUCUUACUCAAUAUUAUUGAAUAUUUCUAAAUUUUUUUAAAAUGGAGAGAGAAAAUAAUAAAUAGCUGAAAAAUUACAAAGUUUUAUCAUUAAUUAUAAAGCAUAAAAUUACUUACUAGAUUUGAAAUUACAAUAAAACGAUUUAGCAUUGUUUACAAAUUUUUUUAAAAAAAACUCAGAUUAUAUGAUAAAUUUUAUAAUCAAGGUUAGAGAAAUGCAAAUGUACUAAAUAACAGUGUGAAUUGACUUUUAUUAAUAUUUUAAUAGUAUUUAAAUUGAAUACUUGUAUCUUUAUCUAAACUAAUUACUAGUGAGGGACAAUUUUGAAAAUUUAUUUGUUGUACAUUUCAUCACAUUAAAGUGCUUUUUCAAAAAAAUUUAAAAAAUUCAGAAUAAAAUGAACAUUUUCAUUCAUUCAUAAUAACCUAUCUAAAUUAAAUAAAUGUUUGGUAGGGAGAUAUAAAUUAACAACGAGAAUAUAUUUAUAAGAUAGUAUUUGUAAGGGUAUUUGUGAUAUAAUCAAAUUUGUAGGGAUGUUUAUAAUAUUUUGAACGUUUAGAGGGGUAUGAAUGAAAUUAACCCUUCAUUAGUAAUAAUUGGAACAUUUAAAAGGGCAAUUAUGAAAAGGGUAAAAUCGGUAUUUUAAUUAUGAAACGGAUAAAAUCGGUAUUUUGAUUGUUGUUACCGUAGAUUUUAAUAAAAAUAUGUUUUGAAGGGUAUUUUUGAAAGUUUUCUAUAUUUAGAGGGGCAUUUAGAAUAUUUCAAUUUUUAUAGGGGUAUUUGUGUAAAUACAUGCUUUUAGAGGGGCACACAGGAAAUUUUCCCUAAAUAAAUUGUGAUAAUAUGUCAAACAAUAUAUUAAUGCAUUUAAAAGGACCUUCAUGUUUGGAGAGCCCGGUCUACAGACCGUGGUCCAGGCAAUAAUUUCCAGCUUCCACCAACCAGCGAGUUGUCUAAGUCCACGUGGCUGCACGACAGGAGCCGCUUGAUGGCAACCUAACGAAAAAUUCUAGAAUAAGGGAGUCAUUGUCUGCACCGGGUGUAUAAGUACAUCCCGUACACCACGAACUUAUCCAAGAUCUCAAAUUAAAUUCUGAUUCAUUCAGUGUUGUUUCGAUUUACUGUCAACUAUACUGGUUUACAAAUUUUAUUACUAAAGCAUUUCCAUGAUUCUUUUAAUCUAAUUAAUUAAAAAAUAUAAUAUUACAAAAUAUCUAUGUCAAAUUUAUAAAGUAUAUACACUAAUGAGUCCGACUACUAUACUAUUGACUGCACCAAGCACUUAGUGCUAUUAAGUUUUCUGCCGUUAGAUCUGCUCGUUUGACCAUUUUCAUCCGUUAGAUCAUACUAUUCAACCAAGUACGCACUUAAUCCUGAAGAAUCACUAUCAUCGUAAUCAAAGAUCACUAUCAUCCUGAUCAGAGACCACUAUCAUCCUAACCACACAUCCCUUCAUCAAAGAGCCAAAAACCUAAUAGCACAAAGCGUUUGGUACUAUAAAUAAUAUAGUAGCCUAAUUAUACACUAAUAGCCUGAUAAAAUAAUAAUAUAACAUAAAAAUAGUCUGCUAGGAAAAUAGAUCAAAUCAAAUUAUCUAAUAUGGAUGAAAUUGUGUGUAGGAUUAUUUUAUUAUUAUGAAGGUAUACUUGUGUCCAAUUAGUUUUUGAAUCACAUAAUUUCACUUCCUAUAUCAUUAGUUUUUUAUGUUAUUUACUUGCUAGAACUAAUUUUUUAUGUUACUUUCAUUUUAAUUAAAAGUUACUUAUCAAAUAUUGGGUUUAUCUCAUGACACUUAUGAUACACUAAGCAUACGCAAUGGAUUCUAGAAAAAAGGAAAAAAUCAACCAUCAGUAUCAGGAAUGAAAAAUAGGUAGAUCCGCCCACCUAAGAGCCCAGUUUCCUUCGAGGGUCGGAAUGGAUUCGAAUCACAGUAAUUUUUAUUUAUUUUUUAUCUCUAUUUACUGCUUUAUUCAUGACGGAUCGGAGUAAGAAUAAAUUUUUAGCAUAUCGAGGCAAAUCAAAGGAAGAAAAGAAUUUUCCACCUCCUGCUCUUUUGUUUUCAGUGGACCGGAGUAGAUUUGCGAUGAUUUAUUAUUAUUUUAUUUUUGGCCCCAAUUACCUCCAUUCGGGGUUGGAGCUCCAUCAUCCAUUUGCUGCCAAAUCCAAAAUGAUAAUUUGGUAAAUCAACAAUAGGGUCCACUAGAUCUACUUUUAUUUAACUUUUAUUGUAUUUAUAUCAAUAAAUGCUAAUUCAGAUACCCUAUAAAAAUUUUCUCUCGAUGGCAUAUAUAAUAAUAUUAUUGAUGAGUUGAUAAUAUUAUUAUUAAAUUCUAAGCACUAUCAUUAUACUCUAAAUACAAUUAUUAAAUUCUAAACAUUAUAAUUAAAUAUUAAACUCUAAAUCCUAAACUCUUUUUUUAAGUGCCAUUACAUCAACGAAUAAUUCAACAACAAUAUAAUAGGUACAAAACAUUAUUCUAUCAAAUAUUAGGAGUGGUUCAUGAUUCACGUGGUACACCAGGUUCAGGCGAUGAAUUUCUUGGGGACAAAAAACAAGCAAGGAGCAUCGACGAUCGGAAUUGGGUGAGCCAACUGUCGGGUCCACGACAUCAACGGCUCACGCCGAAAUCCCAACCGCAAAACUGAUUCGAAGUCAGCGUCGUAGGCUAACUGCCGCACCGCCACGUGUCGGUUGAAGGCCGGGAGGUUGGGGUCGGCUCUGAAGGUUAAAUGGAGGGAUGUUGAUGGGUACGAAUACAUGAAAUUUUAUCCGAAUCCGAAUUUGAACAGAGCGGAUUUUCGACGGAUGUGUAUACGGAUAUAGAUUUUGAGUAUACUCGCCUCAAACCCAAACACGAACCCGACCUAACUCAAAUUAAUUUUAUAUUAUAUAAUAUAUAUAGAGUUCGGCUGCAAUGCUAUCGAUAGCACUAAGCACUUAGUGUUAUCAAAUUUUAUGCCGUUAAAUCAACCCUUUUGAUUAUUUUCAUCCGUUAGAUUAUAUUAUUCAACCAACCACCCACUAAACUCUAAGGAAUUAUUAACAUCAUAAUCGUACAUCGCUUCAUCUAAGAUCCAAAAACUUAAUGGUACCGAUGACUAGGUGCUAUUAAUGGUUCACAUAUAUAGAGUGGGUUGGUAUGCUUAGGAAAGCACGGAGCCCUUCGUGCUUUCAAGUUGUUUUCGAUGUUCGGACUUUCGAAUCGACGAUCGGCUCCGUUUGUAACAUAUGGAAACUUGGAGUCGCGAUGUCAACUUUGACCUAGAGGGUCAAAGUGAGGAUUGAGCUAGUUGGACAUUAUCCCCGAGGGAUUUGUGAUGCGUUGGAAUGAGUUCCAAAGAGAAAUAAGUGUGUUGGCGCAAAUUGGGUGCGAAACGAAAUGUAAAGAGAGUAAAGAGAAUUUCGGAUUUCCGACGCUAACUUUGAUUAAAAGAAUUAAAGUAAGGCGGAAGGAUACAUUGUGGUAUCUCCGAAUCAAUUGUGAAGUUUUGGAAAAGCCAAGGGUGUGUUUUCAAAGGGUUUUGAAGAGCUCAGUGCGAAGUGGUAGUGCAAAACGGCCAUGUAUUGGAAUUGGAGCCGAUUCUAUUUCUAAUUCGGCUCAAAUAAUGUCAAAAUGAAAAGGAAUUGCUUCCAAAUUAAAUUGGUAGCUUGGGAAGGUCCCUUGGUGUAUUUUGGAAGUGUUUGGGUGAAAUCGGAGCGAAAACGGAAAAUUUAGAAUUUUCUGUAAGGAACGGGACUGAGAAAAUUAGCAGAAAAUGCACAGUGUCAGAAAAUUACGAAAAUUGGCAGAGAUGUCAGGAAUAUUAUUAUAAGGCUAGUUUUGAAGUUUCAGAUUUUUCUGACACCUGUAGAGAGAGAAAUAGCAUCUGGAAAUUAUCUGAUAAAGAUUACAGUUCGGGACAGUUCGCAGUGACCAAACGGGGUCGAAACUGAAAUGUUAAAAUUUCAGUGGACUUGUUAAGUAAAAACGAACAUUCCUGCCAAAUUUGAGCUCAAUCGGACUUUCGGAUGAGCCUACGAAAGGUAUUUGAUCCGAGUUGCGCGACGGAGUAUAAGUCGAGGGCAAUUUGGUAAUUACACAUGGCUUAGUGGAUUUCCACUAAACCUGCCAGUAGGGGAGCUCCAUCCUUAUCCCCCCCCCUUCAGCCUGCCUACGUAGAGAGAGAGAAGGAGAAAAGAAGAGAAAAGAGAAGAAGAGAAAAGAGAAGAAGAAGAAGAAAAAGAAGAAAAGAAAGGUGAGAAUUUUCCUCUCCCUCUCUCUGCUGACUAUAUCCCUUCCCCUCUCCCUCUCUCUGCUGUCAGCAGUAACCUCACCAGUAGCAGUAGUAGCAUGAGAAGCUGCAGCAGCAGCAAGCUGCAGCAGCUCAGCCAGCAGCUGCUGCCAGCAGCAGCCUUAGCAGCAGCAGCAGCAGCUGCAGCAAUCAGCAGCAGCAGCUGCAGCUAGCAGCAGCAGCAGCAGUGGCACCAGCAGCCUGCAGUCAGCAGGAGCAGCAGCAGCAGCUGCUGCUUCAGCAGCAGUCAGCAGCAGCUGCUUCAGCAGCAGCUGCUUCAGCAGCAGCUUGCGCAGGGAGUAGCAGCAGCAGCUUCAGCAGCAGGCAGUGAGCAGCAGCAGCAGGAGCUUCAGCAGCAGCAGUAGCUUCAGCUGCAGGGAAGCAAGAAAGAAAGAAAAGAAAAGAAAGAAAGGAAAAGAAAGAAAAGAAGGAAAGAAAGAAAGAAAGUAAGAAAUGAAAUAAAAGAAUAGAGAGGAAUGAAAGAGAGAAAAUGAGAAAGAGGAAGAGAUUGAAAUGAGUUGAAAUACUCUAUACAAUUUGUAAAAUUGCAUAGAAACAGGUUUAAUAGAAAACUGACCGCGACAAUGCACUUUUACAAAAUAAGAGUCCUGAUGCGAAAUUGACCGCGUGUAAACCAAAUUGAGGGUAAAAGAAACGCGUUGGCGAAGUCGGUUCGGCAAUCCGACGAACCUACGCAAAGAUAUCGCCAAAAGAAGGUUUUCGGCUAUAGUUGCCGUUUUAUAUAGCAUUGUAAUGCUAACUUGUAAAAUAUGAGUUAUGACUCAAGUUUAAUCUCUUUUAUACUUGUUUGAAUGAAGAUUAAACUUGCCCAAGAGUCUAAAUUGACUUUCCGACAGGUCGACGACGCUCUAAUUACGGUAGCGGCCGUUCUAGUCCUAUUUGCACAGAGUCGCGAGAGAUAGUCGUCGACGCUUUCCGAGACGUGGAUUCUAGUUGAUUGACACCACUACAGGUGGGUGGUGCUAUCCGAAGUCUUUGAAUCACCUUUUAUGUCUAUGCUAUUCAUUGAGCAUAUUUACUUCUGUUUUCAUGCAUUAUAGGGUAUGGGCAUUGGCAUUAUGCAAGUGAUAUUGAACGUGUGAAUUCUUAGUGAUAGUAAGAACAUAUGAACAUUAGAAUGUGGACAUAGAACCCUAUGAAUGUAUGAAACUGUAAAGGACCAAGACAAUAGUAAACUUAGUGACAUCAUGACUAGAGAUUUGGUUAGCAUCGAGAAAUGCAAUUAUGAAACUAGUAUAAAGAACUAGUUAGAGUUAAAUUGUGACAUUAUUGUUAGUUGAAUCCUCUAAAGGGGGAUCAGAUCUUACUCACAUAGUCUGUUUUCUUGCUUGGUGGUGGUCGCUCCCCCCAGGCAGUGAGCUCCGGAGUAGUCACUUGUUGGGCUAACGUACUUGCCCCAGGACUAACGUACUUGUCCGACAGACGGUCCCAUCGGGAGGCAGCUUAGGGCCCGUGAGGGAUUUCGUUGGUGAGUUAUUGUUAACCAAAGGGUUAACCACUGAAUUGGGUAAAUUUAUGGGCUAACGUACUUGCCCCAGGACUAACGUACUUGUCCAGCUGUUAACCACAGGGUUAACCAAAAGAUUGGGUAAAGUUAAUGAAAAGCAUGCAUGCAUAUUUACAGUUUUCAUAUCUGUUACUUCUUUCAGCUUUGUACAGGCAUUGUAGUAGUUACAUAUUAUAGUUGGUUACUAUCUCAGUUUACUUUUCUUAUCUACAUAUGCCUGAGUAGACCUAGUGGGUGAGUCGGCGAGGUCGGCGGCCGAACCCACUGGGAACUUUCUUGUAGUUCUCACACCACUAACCAUACAGGUUCCAGUGCGAGUAUUGUGGCCGAGGAUCGAGGCAAGAGCCAGCAGCCUAGCUAGUGGACACCCGAGUACUAGUGGUAUACCAUUUUGGGUUCAUGUAUCAUCUAUUUCGAUGUACAGAGACAUGUAAAUGAAUAUAUAAAGCAUGUAAAUAGCUAAAUGUUUCAGUUAUACAGUUCAGUUUGAAAGUUUUAAGUUACAGUGAAUUUCAUUGUAUAGUUAGUUUACUAUCACUUGUGUUUGUUGCUUGCCUUCGUGCAAGCCAUGUAUAUUGAAAUGUGAUCCUGGGAAUUAUUUAUUUCUCUAUACAUGUAUCCGUUGUUGUUGAGCCUUGGGCGAACAGAGGAGGUGCUGUUCGUUCGGCGUCUGUGUACGGGCCCGGAUCGACCAAAUUGGCGACCGCGGGACGUGACACCGUUAGAGUUGAUCUAGAGUAUUUGAAGUACCUAGAAAAUAAAUUUUGUGAUUUUUCGAUAUCAUUUGCCUAGUGAUCGAAGGGACUCAAAAUCAAUAAUUUUAAUAGCCGUGGUGAGCCGGUUGCAAGUUUAAUGGUGUAGAAAUAUCCAAAUCACAUGAAAUUUUGAUAGAAAAUUCUUUAUACCAUAUAAAACAAGAUCAAUAACUUUGAUCUAAAAUUUAAUGUCAUAUCAUCAUACUUUGUAAGAUUUUUAUUUUCAGUCGUUGAUUUUGAGCCACUUCGAUCGCUAGGCAAAUAAUAUCGAAAAUUCGCAAAAUUUAUUUUCUAGAUACUUCAAAUACUUUAGAUCAAGUCUAACGGAGCCGAUCGUCGAUUGAAAAAUCCGAAUAUCGAAAACAAAGUGGAAGCAUGGAGCCCUCCGUGCUUCCAUAAGCAUUCUAGCCACACUCCAUAUAUAUAUAUAUAUAUAUAUAUAUAUAUAUAUAUAUAUAUAGGCAGGCUGCUGGUGCUCUCAGGAGCACGGAGGCCUCCAUGCUCCUCAGCCGUUUUCGAUAUGGAAUUUUCGAAUUGACGAUCGGCUCUGUUAGACUUGAUCUAGCGCAUUGAAGUUUCUAGAAAUAAUUUUUGCGAUUUUUCGAUAUCAUUUACCUAGUGAUCGAAAGGAUUCAAAAUCUAUAAUUUUAAUGUUGAUAUCUGCCGUUUUUAAGUUUAACGGUAUAGAAGUAUUCAAAUCAGAUGAAAUUUUGAUAGAAAAUUCUUUAUACUAUCUAACAAGAUCUAUAUUUCUGAUCAAAAAUUUUAGUGCAUAUCACCACUUUUUAUAGGAUUUUUAUUUUCAGGCAGUUAAAAUUAAUUGAUUUUAGAAUCCUUUCGAUUGCUAGGUAAAUGAUAUCGAAAAAUCGCAAAAAUUAUUUUCUAGAAACUUUAAAUACGCUAGAUCAAGUUUAAUGGAGCCGAUCGUCGAUUCGAAAGCUCCAUCAUCGAAAACGCUCAGGAGCACGGAGGCCUCCGUGCUCCUGAGAGCCCAGCAGCCCUGCUCUAUAAAUAUAUAAAUAUAAUAAUUAUAUAUAUAUAUAUAUAUAUAUAUAUAUAUAUAUAUAUAUAUAUAUAUAUAUAUAUAUAUGUAUGUGUGCGCGUGCGUGUGUUCGAUGUUCUAUUUAGAUUUCUAUUUUAAGAAAUUUAGAUUUAAUGUAAUAUGUUUUGAAAUAUUUUGUUUCAGGUUCGAAUUUUUGAAUUCCGGUUUUUUGAAUUUUUGAUCGGAUUCGAAUUUGGAUAUGAAUUUUUAAAAUCCGUCGGAUUGAGAUUUGUAUUCACUUUUUGGGUUUGAUAGUGGGGUUCGGGUUUUUUAAAAUAUCCGCAUCGAAUUCGACUCAUUAACAUUCUACUGAACAACCGCCGAAUACGUUGGGAUUUUGCCAAAAUCAUAUACGCAUCCAUAUUUUUUGUUUAGAUGUAGAUAUAUAUCGGUUGCUAAAUUAUUUUUACCAUAUCGCCUAAAAUAUAUUCGGAUUCAGAUUGAAACGAACUUAUAUUUUGAUAUUCUUCAAAUAAUAAUGUAUACUAAUAUUUAUUUAUAAAUAUGAAUUAAAAUUAACGUGAAUAAGAUAUACAAUAUAGUUAAUAAUAGAUCACGUCCGUCUUCAAAUUUCAUAUACCUAUAUUUUAUUCAAUAAAAUUUAAUAUUUUCACAAAUAUAAAUACAAUUUUAAUAUAAAAUUUAUAGUAAAAUAAAUUAAGACCAUAAUAGAAAAUCACUUUAUUUUCGUGUAUUAUGUAUUGACGUCUUCUUAUUUCUUAACGGUGAAAACAAUCGAGUAUGGUCGAAUUUUUUUUAAAAAAACUAUAGUUGCAUUUAUAUUUUUUUAAUAUUUUUUCAGAUGCCAAUUCGGAUACAAAUACAUGUCGAAUGUUAAAUUUUAAUAUUUAUAUUCGUAUCUUAUCGAAUUUGGUGUCGGAUUUGACCAGAAUUUAUAGUUACCAUUUCACUCCUAUUGGCGGUUUCCGAGAGCGUUAUAAACGUUAGGGGUCCAAACGUAAUUCUCCACAACCAUAAAGUCACCUACCCACCUAACCAGUCAUUAUAUUACCUUUUCACUUUUUUUUUUUUUUUUUCCCUCUCUGCAAAAUUCAUGUAUUUUGUUUCUGAGAAAUAUUUCAAAAACAUAAGUUUUAGGACUAUUUUUUUUAUCUAUUAAGUUUUUAAAAUUUAGUUUUUAGUUUUUUUUUAAAAAAUAUUCAAUUGAUUUUGUUUUUCAAUUUUUUUAAAAAAUUGAACAGUCAUUUACAUUUUUUUCAAUAAAUCAAACAUUCUCUCACUCCUACCCUAUCCUCGUGAAGAAAAAAAAUAUAUAUCCUGUAACAUAUGCCGUCUGAAAAUUUCGCAUGUCAUAAAUUUUUUGAAUAUUUCACCAACUAAAUUGCCUGAAAUAUACUGACUAAACACUAAAUUUGUAACCAGAAGUAAUGCAGUUAAAUUUUAAAGUCAAAGUGCCGUUAGCUGAUACACAUUAAAUAAAUUAAAAGUUUGAAUAAUCAAAUUAAAAUUUUAAAAGAUAAAAUAGAUAAUUCAUUCUUUAAAUAAAGUUUACAUUUUUAUCACUCAAUUAAUUACAAAAAAACUUCAAAUAGUGCCUAUGUAGUUUCACACUUUCUCGCUUUUCUACUUUGUGGUUUAAAGCGUAUCAAUUUAGUAUCAUGUAGUUUCAUUUUUAUCUUUUUAUUAUUUAUUUUAUUAAUUUUUUUCGUUAAAUUAGUGACAAAGUUAAAACUAAAGGGUAUUAAAGUGAAUAUUCGAUAAACCUAGGCGGGGCGUCUGAAGUUUUUUUUAAUAUAAUUUAACAAAAUAUUAACGAAAAAGCUGAUGAAAAGAUAAAAAUAAAACUACGGAAUACUAACUCGAUACAUUUUAAAUAAUAUGAUACUAAAGUGAGAAAGUGCGAAACCACUGGGGUGGUGUUUGAAGUUUACCCAUUAAUUAACUUAUCAUUAACUUUUGGGUUUUUUUUGCAAAUAGCCCCCUGAGUAAUUUUUAUUUUAAAAACAGUCCUAUCAAAAUUAAAAUUGGAAAAAUGGUCCUGUUUCUGCCACGCAGGUGUCACGUCAGCGCCACACGGGCAGGGCUGGGGCCAGGGUAUUAAGUUGAACACGGUGAAUCAUUCACCGUGUCUAAACACGGUGAAUGGUUCACCGUAUUCAACUUAACACACGGGCCCAGCCCUGCCCGCGUGGCGCUGACGUGGCGCCUGCGUGGCAAACCCAGGUCCAUUUUUACAAAUUAAAUUUUAACUGGACUAUUUUUAAAAUAAAAAUUUUUCAGGGAUCUAAAUGCAAAAAAAGUCCUUAACUUUUUGUUGAGAAUAUUGCCACUAGAGUCCCAACAUCUACAACCAACCAAAAAGCUGAGCCCUUUUUGACUAAUCAUAGCAACGUAAUUACACCAAUAACAUUUAAAAUUGAUUCAACUGGGGACAGUUGGGGUACGUUUUGGGUCCCCGUACGAACCCGCUAUUAAGAUUCCAACGGCUCGAAUGCGCGCCACGUUGCUCUCCCUGUAAUAAUAUACUAACUAAUAAUAAUAUAAAAAAAAUAAUAUAUCAGGUAAAAAUGUAAUGGAGACCCCUCGGCUAUAGGAUAUUUUGUACGAGCCCCCUCAACUUUAUUUUUUAAGGAAAAACUUCAGAAAACCCCCCAAUAGUUUCCCAAUUUUUUAUUUUAGUACUCUGUGGUUUAAAGUGUAUCAAGUUAGUACAUGUGGUUUCGCACUUUCUCACUAUAGUACCCUGUGGUUUAAAAUAUAUCAAGUUAGUACCCUGUGAUUUUAUUUUUGUAUCAAGUUAGUACCCUGUGAUUUUAUUUUUCUCUUAAUGAAAUAUUAAACCACAUGGUACUAAAGUGAAAAAGUGUGAACCCACAGGGUACUAAAGUGAGAAAGUGUGAAACCACAAGGUACUAACUUGAUACACUUUAAACCAUAGGGUACUAAAGUGAAAAAGUGCGAAACCACAAGGUGCUAACUUGAUACAUUUUAAACCACAGGGUAUAAAGCGAGCAAAAGUGUAUUUGAAGUUUUCCCUUUAAAAUAAACUUCAAAUACCACCUAUGUAGUUUCCCACUUUCUCGCUUUAAUACUCUAUGGUUUAAAGUACAUCGAGAUAGUGUCAUGUGGUUUUAUUUUUAUCAUUUCGUCAGCUUUUCCGUUAAUAUUUCGUUAAAUUUUAUACAAAAAACUUCAAAUACCUACCUAGGUUUAUUGUAUAUUAAUUUUAGUACUCUUUAGUUUUAACUUUGUCGCUGAUUUAACAAAAAAACUUAGUGGAAUCGAUAAUAAAAGGAUAAAAAUAAAAUCAUAGGCACUAAUUUGAUACACUUUAAAUCAUAGGGUACUAAAGUGAGAAAGUGUGAAACCAUAUGGUGGUAUUUGAAGUUUUUUAUAUUUUUUUACAUUUUAAAAUUUUUUAAUUGAGUGUUUUUUACAUUGGUAAGUUAUAUAUUUUAGUAUACGAUGUUAUUAUCCAUUGGAUGCUAAUUAUUAUAAUUUUAGUUAUUAAUAAUAUAUUAUCUAGAUGAAGAAAAAGAAGUAGGGAAGAGUUAAAAAAGUUAUAAAAGAUUAAAUAAUUUUCUUUGAUUCGAAUUAAAAUAUGAGAGAGAAAAAAAAAAGAAAGAAAAUAAAAAUUAUCUUUCAUGAAGGUCCAUUUUUCUUCUCUCUCCAUUGAAAAUUAUUUUAUUUUAUUUUAAUUUUCUUAGUCUAGACAAUUGUAAAUAAUAGCUUAAAAUAUUAAAGUAACAAAAUUACUACUAAAUUUAAUAAAAUUUAGAAUUUACUUUAUUAAAUUAUUCAAUUAAAUAUGAAUUCAAAAUCAAAAUUAAAAAUUGAAAUUGAAUUUAAUUUCAAAAUCUAAAUUUGAAUUCAAAUAUAGAUUUUAAAUCUCAAUUGAAUUUAAAAUUUGAAUACAAAAUAUUAAUUUAAUUUAAAAUUUAAAUCUUAAAUUAAAUUAAAAUUUAUAAUUUUCAUUCAAAAUCAAAAUUUAAAUUUAAAAUUUAAAUUCUAAAUUUAAAAUUAACUUAAAAAAUAUUUAAUUUUAAUUUAAAUUUUAAUUUUAAAAUAAAUUUAAAUCUAAAUUUAUGGUUCAAAUUAAAGUAACGUAGUUUAAAAAUUCUGAAAAACUAUUCAGAUCCACUCUGUUCGAGAAUAGGAGAUACCUAUCUUCUCUUCAUUACUAGAAUUUUUUUUGUUAGGAAAAAAAUUAUUUAUUCUGAAAUAAUAAAUUUUCGAUUGAAUUACUAACCACUAUUACCAAAAUAGUAUCAUCUGUACAAGAUUCUCAGUAAUCCAAUACACGCAGCAUAAACCAAACACGUAUUUUGUCUCCUGUUUAGGUAAAAAUAUAUGAAUACUCCUUAACCAUAGCCUAUUAGGAAACCGAAUGAAUGAGACAUUUUACUUAUAAACUUAUUUGUGAAUUAAUCAAGCAAAUAAAACUAGGCCAAUUAAUAGCUUGUGGAAAAUAGAAAAAUUAAAGUUUAAUAAUUUUUUUUUAACGUAAUUAAAUAUAUAAGUAUAAAAACUAAAAAUAGGAAUAAAACAUGGUUGUGAGGUCGAUUUCAAAAAAGUCCUAUAGUUGAGGGGGUUUCCUACACUUUUACCUACUCUUUAUAAUCCCCCUCCUCUCCUCGUUCUCUCCCUCUUUCGCGCUCUCCCUCUCUCCGACACGUUGCGAGCACGAAGAAGAGGUCGAGCGGAGAAAAGAAGGGAAAAAAAGGGGGUUUUUUUGUGGCUUUUUUUUUUUUUUUUUUUUGUGUGGUGGUGUUCUCCAAUGGCGCCGUGGAAGCGCGCGGCGGUGGCAUGGAUCGUGAUCUCGAUCGCGCUUAUCGGCGUUCGCGCCGAGGAGGCGGCGGCGGCGGCGGCGGCGGCGGCGGAGGCGGUGGCGAAGGGGGAGGUUGCGGAUUCGGGGUUGAGGCUCGAGUUGGAGGAGCUACGGACGAAGAUCUCCGCCCUAGGUUUGCCCCAAUCCGAUCUUGAAGCAGGAGCUAGGGUUUUCGCGGUGUUUGAUCUUUGCCUCGGCUAGGUUUUGAAAUCUUGGUUUUUUUUAGUGUGAUGCUGGAGCAUUUUAGAAUAAGAUUUUUGAUCUUGUUGACGAUUUCUCUUCCUUUUUGGUAUAAGAUGGAAUUGAUUUGAUGGAGUGUGCCGAUAACAGGAUGGGUUAGUAGUUUGAUUUUAUUUGGAUUUUUUCAUUGAUUUGGGUGUUUUUUUCAAAAAAAAAAUUUAAUCGGUUUGUUUGAGAGGGAAGGAUUGCAUUUGUAGCGUCUGUUGAUGCUGUGCUUUGUUUUUGCUGAAGAGUCUACUAUCAACGAUACAAUCCAGGAGUUGAAGAUGCGAGCUAGGGUUUGUUGAUGUUUGAUCUUUGUGUUAGCUAGGGUUUUGAACGUUUACAGUCAUUUGUUUCCGUUAAUUGGAAUUUCUUUGAGUGUGAUCUUGGUAGUUUCGAUUUGUCGUUUCUCCAUUUGUUUUUUCUCCUUGGGUGGCGACGUUCGCUUAUUAAUGUUCUUGGAAAGGUGGAAUAUGUUAGAAUGUAUUUGGGCUUCACAGUUAAUUAGGAUGUUUUCCCUGAGUUGUAAAGUUUGCAUCUUUAACAUGUAUUGAUGCUCUUCUUUGUUCUUUGCUGAAGAGUCUAGCAUUGCGGAUCGAAACCAUGCGUUGAAGAAGAAAGAUGAAGGAAUUGCGCAGUUGGAAAAGGUCAUCGAAGAGAAAGCAAAGGCUAUUUCAUCGCUGCAGAGUGAGAAAGAAUCGCUGCAGGUGGGCCAAUAGUGACUGGCUAUANAUAUAUAUAUAUAUAUAUAUAUAUAUAUAUGGCCUCUCAACUCAAAUUCUAUGCUGUCGUGUAGUGGAUUAUUUGCAUUCUAUACAUUGUGAGUUUCCUUUGUCAAUAAAGAAUAUGAAUAUGUAGAACUUUUUUGGGGAAAUGCCAGUGUAUGCCUUGAAAGCUGCAAAAUAUCAUAAAUACCUCAGAAAUUGUCAAUAUCAUAAUUUCUCACUUUAAAUUCAUAAGUUAUAUCAUAAACAUUCACUUAAUGCGGGCUAACCGAGGGUUUCAUACGAGUUAAGAUGCAAAAUGACCUAAUUUCCCUUCACUGUAGCUAAAAGUGAGUUUAGAAGCGGACAAGCUAUAACAAGAGUAGACGAGUCACUUUCAUUAAUUUUCUUCUAAAGAUGAAUUUACAUGGUAACAAACGGUAACAGCAAUAGAGGAGUAAUUUCAUUUUUUUUUUCUUUUAAAGAUGAUUUUACAUGCUAAUAAACAAUAAGAAGAAUAGAGGACUGAAUCCAUUAACAUGUUCAAUCGCAUAGAAUUUGAUUUUUGAAAAUACAUGUGUGGCGAAAUAACGCUGUCAUGUGUUAUUCUCCUGGGAUAAGUCUUGUGAAUCUUUUAUUUUCUCCUCUUUUAUGUAGAAAAAGGGUGCUGUUGCUGAGGAAGCAGGAAAGGCAUAUGCUCGGGCUAGUGAACUUGAGAAACAGGUUCAGAAGAUGAUAGCGCUUUUAAUAAGUUCACAAAUGGAUCCU
rnacentral:lncRNA from 1 species